rnacentral:lncRNA from 1 species
CUUUGGUAAGACAAUAUCUGUUAAACAGAAAUCGGCUAACAUGAAGAAUUCUAUGGAUCUCUUCUCUGGAAUGAAUAUUUUGGUUUUUCAGGUUGAAGGGACUCCUGAAAGACCAAGAUUGGCUGUCUUCCGCUCCAACAAGCAUCUUGCUGUCCAGGUGAUAGAUGACACCAAGAUGCACACGCUUGCUUCAGCUUCCACAAUGCAGAAGGCAAUUGCGGAAGAGUUCAGCUACACUGCUGGCCCUACAAUCGUAAGUUUCUUAUGAUUCUCUUAUCAUAAUUUAAUUGCUUCCCGAUUGAACUUGGUGUUGUGUAUCAUACUGAAACCUGUUUUCCUGAUUGAAAGUCACAUUGAACAUUUCCUGUUUCCUUGAGUACUUGCACGUGUGUUCUCCUAAUAACCACGGUAAGUCAGAUACACUUGUUCCAGUUCAAGGCUCUAUUUCCAACCUCACAAUUAGUGGAGACUGAGUUUCUUCACUUUCUUGGCAGUGGUUGCAUUUUUGACAUGAGAAAAUGUACCUCCAAUUUAAUGUGCUUUAUCAAUGUCAAUAUGAUGGGAAUUAUUGUGUUUUCAUUUGAUUCAUAACACUUUUUAGACUCGCACAGAAGCAAAAAAUUUCAUUUACAUCCUGAUUCCUGAAGGUCACCUUCAGUUUUAACGGAAUUAACUGAUAUAUUAGAAAAUCAUUACAUUUUAAACUGAUCACCAGGUUUCCUAGAUUGUUUUUCCCCUCAAAUAUAUCAAUAGGUACCGAAAGCAAGAAGCAAAGUCACUCAAACCGAAGUGGCUACUGGACUGUGGAUUUUUGCAACAGGUUUCUGUAAAAAAAAAACCUUAAUUUAGCAAAAAAUAACUAAAAUUAAGCAAAUAAUCUUCAGUACCUAUUUGGUAUUUACACCAGAACAAUUGUGAUGUUCAGAUUUCCCUGUCAUUAAAUCUUUAGAAACUACCAAGUGAGCAUAAGAGAUCUGUUUCUUUGGUUGACAUUCAUUAAUAUCCCUUCCUUACAAAUUUCUUGAUGCUGUAUCUGCUAUUCCUUUUCAUGCUUUCAUCUAGUGAAUGAUGGUCACGUUCCUUUCAAAUUAUUUUGCUUCAGGAAGUAGCGAAGAAGGUGGGUGAGAUCAUUGCAAAAUCCUGUCUGGAGAAAGGAAUCACUAAGGUUGCAUUCGACCGAGGUGGAUACCCAUACCAUGGCCGUGUUCAAGCACUUGCUGAUGCAGCUCGUGAAAAUGGUCUGGAUUUCUAGAAUGAGAAGUAUCUUUCCCUUGUAUUUCAUGUUCAAAUUUGUAAUCCAGUGUUGUAAAAGUUUUCUAAUGACAUUUCCUCUUUUCCAGUGAUUUUGUUAUGAUUCAUCGGCUCCUGUUUAUCCAUUUAUUUCUUUUUAGUUGGAGACUAUUUUCCACUAAUCAUCCUGAGAAGUUAAGCUGUGGUUAUUUUGUAUGAAAAUCUGAUUAUGUCUCAAUGAACACGUGGCAUUUAGAACCUGAUAGUAAGUUGCAAUAUCUCUGAAAGGAGCUAGCUAGUAUAAUUGUUGUAGAAAACAUUAGUCUUAUAGUGCUUAUUACCAGCAACCAUAUCUGCUUCCAUUUAGACUCUGCAUUCUGACUGUUUCAGGAGGAUUUAUUAAGAAAACAUAGAUACUUGACCAAGACGAGCAUAUUGUGUACUUAUAUCAAAUUUAGUAUUUCAUCUUUCACAAGGUUGGUAUUGUUUUGAUACUUGUAGAGGCAGAUUAUCAGAAAGUGAUUUAGGCCCUUUUGGAAGAGCUUAUUUGAGCUUAUAUGAUAGCAUAAGCACUUAUAGCUUUUUAUGGUUGUGUGCCAGAUACUUCAAAAUAGAUGUAUUGUUUCUAACAACCCUCUAUCAUCAAUGCUACUUCUUCACUUUUAUAUUGUCAAGUUUAAGUUUUAGCCAUUUCACAUCCAUUCAAACUUUAGUAUUUAAAGUUUCUAGCAUCCUCCCCCUAAAUUCCAGAAGAAUAUUACAGUGGAUUACAUUUAUUCACCAAACAAAGGAAUGAAAAAUCUUAUCUUUCUCCCUUUCAAUCAAAUCACACAAGGAUUUUUACAUACCUUCCUUCCUCUUCCCUUUACCUUAUUGCCAUUUAAUUUUCUCUCUUUCCUCUAUUUUUGUUUGAACCAAACAAUCCAUAAAAUAAUCUCAAGGAUAUGAGGUAUGUUUAGAUGGCUGCUCCUUUUAUGUUUAUCAUCUCGUGAUUCAACAAAUCCAAAUAUUUCCCUAUCAAUAUGGAGUAUUAAAAUUAAAAAUAAUUUUUCUAUGACGACAAGUAAUGCAUAUAAUACAUAGAACGUUUGAGGGGGAAAAAAUCCAUGUGAGCGCAAAUAAAUGUUUCUUUUGCUAGGAAAAAAUUGGUUCACCUAAUGUGCACAACUUCAAAACUAAUCCAACUUUGUACCACCUAAUACAACCUACUAAUACAAGUUGAAGGAAAAAAGUGGCUUGCCGCCGGAGAGCGUGACGGUGACCUAGUGCUACUACGGCAGCAAAGAUGAAGGAAAUCAAUAAGCUGUAGAUGACUAGGAGCGGGUUGAGGGAGAUAGGGCGACGGUGGAGGAAGACAAAGAUGUCACUGUGCUACUGCACCAAGUUUGUUCUAUGUUGCCAUCAGAAAUUUAUUUUGGUGACAUUGUUGAUGGGGACGCCAGCCACCAUGGAGGAGAGCAUCGCUGCAAGUAAGAAAAGAGCCCUACAACAACACAACCUUGGAGCUCAUGCCCUCUCAGCAGCUUGUAUUAGUGUUUGUGGUGGUGGGGAUUUUGGAUUCUGGUGAGGAAACAGGAAUGGGGAAAUGAAGGAGGAGAUGGGGUCAAUGACAUAACCGUGCCAAAUGAUGCAGCAGCUUUGGUGGAGGGAGAGAGAGAGAGUGGAGGUUGGCGGCGGAAUCAAAGGGGAGGGAAGGUGGUGGUGUCCAUAGAGGCGGUGGACACAAGGAGAAGAUGACUGGGGCAGUGGUGCAACGAAAAAAGACUACAACUAUUUUAUUUGAUUUUUUGUCAAAAACGUUGCAACCUGCUAUUGCGGGUGAAAUUUGAUGAUUCAAAAAUGCACCAGUAAAAGCUGGUGCAUAUAGACAAAUCCGGAAAAAUUUGAGGAUAAGGAUCAAUUUGCAAAGAAAAACUAGAGAUGGAAAGGCUAAAAGCUGUCAUAAGAGUAGAUGUUCAAACAUUAACAAAACGAAUAAUCAGUUGUACAUAGACACAUUCAGAUACAUGAAAAACAGUUCAAAGUUGGGGUGAUCUGAGCACAAUGCAUUCUUUCUAGACAUACCCUGACAUGCAAGUUUCAAGUCACACUUUUGAACAUUCUGAGUUCAAGAGUUAAGUUGCAUAUAAAAUAAAGUUACAGACUCCAGAACAUGGUAACAAUUACACUAGCUCCUGUAAGUCACAUGCAUGCACACUACCUUCCACAUAAACACAACACAUAAAGCAGAACCAACACUGAUCACUCUCAAGAGGCAGAUAUAGUUGGCUGAAAUUUCUCCUCUGGUCGUUUCGAGGAAACCAAAUCUGGUGCAUUGUCAGCAGAGAAGUUGUUUUCUAUGUUGUCUGCCACUGCCGCUUUUGUUGUUGAUGAAGAAGAAUAAGGGGCUUUGCUCCCCAGCCUUUAACAAACAAAAAUGAUGCAAAUAAGAAAACUAGUAUAUGACAAUCAUAUACAAAAUUGGAAACUCUAAACAGAUUAAAUGGAAGGAAGAUAGUACCUGUUUCGCCGCUGCUCAAGAAAACUUUGAAGUGAAUGACGGCGGGCUAUUGGAAAUUCUGGAGAGAAAUCAAGCAAAAGUCACAAGAGAUACUUAAAUUGUCAUAUGACAUUAAAAUAACAGACAACACAUUGGCUAAGUAGUAAAUGAUAAAGAAGACAAAAUUGUUUGAGAUUGACAUCUAAAUCUAGCAAAAGUAUUGGGGAAAUUACCACCUUGCAGCCUGCAGAUGGAACUCUUCUUUGCAGGAAAGCAAAGUUCCUGGGUUGAAGCAAUAUUAUUAGUGGUUCCAUGUGGAGAAGAAGGCCUUGAGGGAACUGGUGAAAUGAUGGGAGAUUGCAUUCCAAUCUUCUUUGUUUCAACAGACUUGGCGGCAGCAGCAGCAAUAAGCAUUAUUUCAUGCACCUGCGAGUAAAUAAGAGAAAGUAAAUAUAUGAUUUGGAUUGAAGGCACAACAGCUGCAAGAUUCAGUAUUCAUAUCUAAGUGCAGCAAUAAUUACCUUAUCUGCCGGUAUUCCAUCAUAGAUAUGAACACUCCCAUUAUAGAAGAUGGUAACCUUACUUGUAUUAGGAAUCACAGCAUUCAGUCCAGAUGCAGCCACUGACCUAAAAGAGAGAAUAACAAUAAAAAUAAAAAACCACACAAGCACACAUUAAAGUAUUGGAACAUUCAUCAGCUUUUUUGCCCCCAACCAUCAAGAUUCAAGAGGUCUUAGAGCCCGAUUGGAUACUCGUUAGGAAGUAUGAAAGCGGGAAAAUAACACAUCCCGAACAAGUUGCUACUUCAACAAAAAGUGUCCCGGAAGUGUUAUUUUCCCGUUUUCAUACUUCCUAGGUAUCCAAACAGGCUUUUUAGUCCUUACCUUGUAACUAAAGUACAGAAAAGUUGUAUUGAGGUUACACCCAGGGCAUAACAAAAAAUCAGUGUAGCAGAGAUGGGAAAUGUUGAGGUAAAUGAGUGUAUAUACAAGAAAUUAUCAGAUUUAAUACAAACAUGGAAUAGCACAUAUUGAGGAGAAAACAGAAACUUGCUUGAUGUGGUGACUUCACCAUGUGAAAAGAAAAUCAAUAAAGGCUCCAACAAGAAUAGUUGAUUAUAAACACUUCUGGAGAAACCACUGACUAAGACCUUAAGCAAAAUGACUUAAUUGAAAAAAUUGGAUUUUGAUAAAGUCAAAUGGCAUCAAUAUAGCAGAUUCCACCUAAACUAGAAUAAAGCUAAGUUGUUAUUUCUCUCAGAAUAUUUUUUGGAGAUACAAAAACUGCUGACAUUCCUGGAUUUUCUAGAAUUUGAUUCUUGCCAAGAAAAAUUCAUUACCCAAAUCAAACCCCCUCAAUCUCAUAGCUUUCUUAGGUUAACCAAAACCCCUUUUACAUAACAUACCCCCCCCCCCCCCCCCCCUCNNNNNNNNNNNNNNNNNNNNNNNNNNNNNNNNNNNNNNNNNNNNNNNNNNNNNNNNNNNNNNNNNNNNNNNNNNNNNNNNNNNNNNNNNNNNNNNNNNNNNNNNNNNNNNNNNNNNNNNNNNNNNNNNNNNNNNNNNNNNNNNNNNNNNNNNNNNNNNNNNNNNNNNNNNNNNNNNNNNNNNNNNNNNNNNNNNNNNNNNNNNNNNNNNNNNNNNNNNNNNNNACAACACGCCCCCCCCCCCCCCCACCUUUUCAUUAAUUACAAGCUCAGGCUCUCAUCUCACACAAAUGGAAACACUAAUUAAGAACAACUUAUUGUGCAUCCAAUGUUUUCCAUCCACAAAAAAAAAACAAAAAUUUGACCAAAAUUAAACUAACCAAGCAAGUGGGUAAUUAACUAUUCAUGAAAGGAAAACAAUAAAUGGAAACAACAACAAAAAGAAGGAUCUUAAGACAUACUUGUUAGUAGCAACCCCAUCAACACUGUCACCAUGAGGUGAAGAUUCUAGAGCUGAAACCUGCUGUUCUGGCUCAAGCUUAACAGUAACACCAUCCAUGGUUUGGAGAAGAAAACCCAACACCAGAAAUUAAGGAAGAGGAGAAUGGUUGAAGGGAAAAAUGGUUUUUGUUGCGGAAUUUGCAAAGUGUUGAAAGAGAUUUGAAUGGUCUGAGAAAGGAGGAAGAUUUUGAUUCCUUGUCACCUGUCUGUAGUGUUGAGGUGACCAACCGUGAAUAAUUUUAGUGCCGGCAUCUUUAAGAAACGUGUUUCUUGUGCUUAUUUUAAUAUUUAUGUCUCCUUCUUAAAAUCAACAAAGUACAACGCCAUGACACAUGCCUAAUGCCAAUGGUAAUAAAAUGGCUAGUAUUUUUGUAAGACCUUUUACUUCACUUACUUUUAGUGUAUAACUUAUUGGCAAGCCCCUUACCACUUAGUGCGCUGACUGCGGGGCGAGGGACUAGUCUCACAGCUGUCGGCUGUGGAAAUACAUUGGUCAAGACAAAAAAAAAAUGAAGGCUAAUGCGUGUAGCAGCUAAUGUGAAUCAAAUGUCUUCAUUAAAAUAAUUUGAAGGCUAAUACUUCACUCUGUAUUUUUUUUCUAGUGUUAGCAUCAAAUAUCUUCAUUAAAAUUCAAUGUUAAGCCAAUUUUGAUGAUAUUAUCAAGGCUAAUGUAUGUAGCAGCUAAUGUGUCGAAUGAUUGAAAAUAAUUUAAAGUUUGUUACUCACAUGUGGAAGCCAAUUUUGUUUUAAAUUAUUUCCAAUAAUUUAACACAUCAACUGCCACAUAUAUUAACCUUGAUAAUAUCAUCAAAAUUUGCUCAAAAUUGGAUGAAAUUUUUAAUAGACGGAUUUGAUUGCAACAUUAGAAAAAAAUAUUGCAGAGUUGUUUAAGUUUGCCUUGUAUUGUUUUAUGGGAAGAGUUUGGCUUUAGCCUUUAGGUUUUGCUAUGUUAAUAUUGAGGGGACUUUACUCACAUUGUUAUGUGUUGACGGUAAUAUCAACCAUUUUCCAACUAAUAUAAGCUUCUGUUUUAAAAAAAACUUUAGAAAAAAAUACAUGGAUUGAAUUUGAGCAAUUAAAAGUAAAGACAUGUAGAAUUUUUUCAAAAAUCUAUUUAAUAUACUAGUACUACCAAACUUUUACAUUUCAAGAGAAAUUAGUAAAACAUUCCAAACAUUUAAUCUAUGAUUCGACUUCUGGACGAUGUGUAUGGAGAAUGAUUUGGUCGGAAAGACCUACUCACUAAAUGUGAUCUUCAAAUCUCGAGGGGUUUAGUCUCAUGUUUUUUUUUUUUUUUUGAAUGGAGUCUCAUGGUUAUUAGUUAUGAAUUGAGGUUUGAGAGAUCCAACCAUAUAAGGCAGCUUUAAUAUACUAAUGCUACCAAACUUUUACAUUUCAAGAUAAUUUAGUGAAAACAUUCCAAGCAUUUAAUCUAUGAUUCGAUUUCUGAGCGGUGUGUAUGAAAAAUGAUUUGGUCGGAGAGACAUACUCACUUAAUGUGAUCUUCAAAUCUUGAGGGAAUUAAUCUCAUGGAUAAGAUACCUUAAGAUAUGAAAAGAAGAAAUUAGUAAAAUAUGAAUUGAAAUUUUAUUUUCGUUUUGGAAAAACAAAUAAAAUAAAAUAAUCAUGAACAAUGAAUACAAGAGAUUAAGAAAAUGGAAAAGCUCUUAGCCUCUUGCCAAAUAAAUGUUGAGCUUGUAAUAACUGGCAUCGAAUUUGUACUCUACAUAUACGUAUGUUUAGGAAUGAUUGACAAGAUAUCCGCAGUAGCUCACCUGGUAAAAUUCGCAAAUUUGCAUUGAAUUUCCGGGUUUGAAUCCCGGCUGCGGAAUUUUUUUGAAAAACUUUUUAUGUUUUAAUAUCUUCUUUUACAAGUGUUUCCAUUUUGUAUUAUGGGAGACCAAUUGUUAGCUUAGCCUAGUAAGAUGAUUUAGGUUAAAUUACACUUUUUAUUCCAUUAUUAUAAUUGAUAAAUUAAACGUUUAAAUUAAUUUUAAUUUUUUUGACGUGAUAUCAAAUUAAUUUAAUUUUUCUUAUCUACUUUACAUUUUCUCAUUGUUAUAAUUAUGUUUAUUUAGAAUUAUCAAUUUUAUUUUACUUAAUAUUUUUUCAAAGUAAUUUAAUUAUGAUGUUGUGAUUAUUUCUUGAUUGUGUAGGUAUGGGUUCCGAACAUAAUGUUGGGUGAGGAGAAGGAAGGAGGAGGCUGAGCGGUUUUGGUUUCCUUGGCGGUACUCCAACUUUUGUUGAAGGGUUGAAUGUUGUGUGAUUGACGAAAGACGUGGAUGUUAUGAAGGAGAGAGUACGAUUUUUUACUUUGUGGGCACUUUGGAAGUCGCUCCCCUCCAUUGGCUUCAUGGGUUAUGAUGGCGCUGAUGCUAGCUAUGCAUUCGUUUGUGCGUGAUACAGGUACGCUCGAAUCAGAGGGUAUUGGUAUCCUCAUACCUGAGGCUAGUGGGUUUAGUGAAGGAUCUACAAGUUUUGUUUUUUGUAGUUUUGCCUUGGUUGGAACCAUUUUGGGUAACGUUGGGGUAGCGUACGCAAUGUGGACUCUGGUUUAUAUGAGCACAAGGUUUACUCAGUAAAGGGUUUUGUGUGGUUGGACCUGCUGGAUUAUUUUUAUAGCAUUAUGUGGUGGUUUCUUUGCAUGGCUAUAGGUUUUCAUAAGGUCAAGGUCUAGCUUGAUGUUAUGGUUUGUGCUUGUAAUAUUUAUUAGGUGGUUUGUUGUUUUGGUUUGGGUUUUAAGGUGGGGUUUGCUGUUUUGAGUCUUUGUACUAUGGUUCACUUGAGAAUGUGGUACUCUUUUUCUUCACUAGGUUUUUAAUUCCUAUCGGUUUUUCUUAGUAAGGUUUUAAUGAGACUCAUUCUUAAAGUAUGAUCACCAUAGAGGGUUUGAUUGUGAUGUUUGAAGUUAUUUUGGUUGUUCUUACUUCAUGAGAGAAUUGUUCUCAUGCGGUUUCUUCCUCAAUAAUAUAAUAUAUUCUGCUUAAAAAAAAAGUAAAGACAUUAAAAUCACCCAAAGCUUGAAGUAAGGGGACUAAAAUUGGCAAUUGAAAGUAAAGGUACCAAAAUCACCAAAAGAUAAAAAUGAAGGACUAAGAGUACAUUUAAAUCAAAUAAAAAAAUAUUUGUAACACCCCGAUUUCCAGGUGUCACUUUAAUAACCAAAAAUAAACUUUACGCGGAAAACAGGUAAUUUUUUUUUUUUGAUUGUUUCCUUUUAAUAAAAGCAAUAAAGAAAUAAAGACAAAGCCCAACAACUAAACUAACCGAUAAACAACAUAUACAAAGGUACAGCCUCUGCUGCACUAUCCCGUCACGCGCACACGCAGUGACUCCAAGGUAGCGUGCCCGUAGGCGAAUAUAUACAAACCAGAACUGUACGCAAAAGCAUCAAAUAUACCACUAUCCAAGAGAAAGUCGGCCUCAAAAUGGCCUCAACCCAAGACCCCUAUAGUCCGACAGACUCUCUGUGAUCCUCAGNNNNNNNNNNNNNNNNNNNNNNNNNNNNNNNNNNNNNNNNNNNNNNNNNNNNNNNNNNNNNNNNNNNNNNNNNNNNNNNNNNNNNNNNNNNNNNNNNNNNNNNNNNNNNNNNNNNNNNNNNNNNNNNNNNNNNNNNNNNNNNNNNNNNNNNNNNNNNNNNNNNNNNNNNNNNNNNNNNNNNNNNNNNNNNNNNNNNNNNNNNNNNNNNNNNNNNNNNNNNNNNNNNNNNNNNNNNNNNNNNNNNNNNNNNNNNNNNNNNNNNNNNNNNNNNNNNNNNNNNNNNNNNNNNNNNNNNNNNNNNNNNNNNNNNNNNNNNNNNNNNNNNNNNNNNNNNNNNNNNNNNNNNNNNNNNNNNNNNNNNNNNNNNNNNNNNNNNNNNNNNNNNNNNNNNNNNNNNNNNNNNNNNNNNNNNNNNNNNNNNNNNNNNNNNNNNNNNNNNNNNNNNNNNNNNNNNNNNNNNNNNNNNNNNNNNNNNNNNNNNNNNNNNNNNNNNNNNNNNNNNNNNNNNNNNNNNNNNNNNNNNNNNNNNNNNNNNNNNNNNNNNNNNNNNNNNNNNNNNNNNNNNNNNNNNNNNNNNNNNNNNNNNNNNNNNNNNNNNNNNNNNNNNNNNNNNNNNNNNNNNNNNNNNNNNNNNNNNNNNNNNNNNNNNNNNNNNNNNNNNNNNNNNNNNNNNNNNNNNNNNNNNNNNNNNNNNNNNNNNNNNNNNNNNNNNNNNNNNNNNNNNNNNNNNNNNNNNNNNNNNNNNNNNNNNNNNNNNNNNNNNNNNNNNNNNNNNNNNNNNNNNNNNNNNNNNNNNNNNNNNNNNNNNNNNNNNNNNNNNNNNNNNNNNNNNNNNNNNNNNNNNNNNNNNNNNNNNNNNNNNNNNNNNNNNNNNNNNNNNNNNNNNNNNNNNNNNNNNNNNNNNNNNNNNNNNNNNNNNNNNNNNNNNNNNNNNNNNNNNNNNNNNNNNNNNNNNNNNNNNNNNNNNNNNNNNNNNNNNNNNNNNNNNNNNNNNNNNNNNAAGCUUCUCCGGCGCGGCUGCGCGGCGGAGGGAACGGAGACGCGGCGGCGGCGCGGUAGGAGAGGUCGGUUCGUCCGGCGUAUUGGUGUCAUUGUGGAAGCCGUUGGUCUCCGGCGGGUCGGAUAGGCAGGCUCCGCCGGGAUCUUCGGCGGACGGCGACAUGGUGGCGGCGGAGUGGUGGUUUCGGGGGAGUUAAUGAAUCGAAGAAAAGAUGAUGAGAUUAUGAAGUUGUUUUUAAGUUAAGAGUCGCAUAAUAGAGUGCACGUGUAUGGUUCCUGAUUCGAACCUUUUUACCAUGUUGAUGUAAAAAAUAAUAUUGAGUAACUUGGGUUAAAGUAGUAAAAACUAAAAACAUAUUUAACCGUUCCUUCCCAUUUCCUGUGACGACGUCUUUGGUGGGUCAGUUAAAAACUGACUCACUAUGGUGCAAUCACUAUUUCACAUGAUAAUUAUAAAAUUGUCCAUUUUUUAUUUUAACCUUCCAUUCUUCUCCUUUUCUCUCACCACCUCUCCCCUCACCUGAAACAAAUCAGACCCAUAUUCUGGAAGAACAUCAGCAGAAAGGGAAUUUUCAAAGUUUUCCACCCAAUAUGUCAUAUAUUUUUGGGAAAAUUUUCAAUAUUUCUCCUUCUACCACUAAUUCACCACUUUCUUCAACGCUUGCUCAAUUUUUCCAGACCUUUUCUGGGCUAUCAAUUGCAUAUGAGGAAGAAUACAUACAUCAUCAUCAAAUACGAUUUUGAUCCAACCCCAUCUACCCUUUACCCACCUUUACAUGUAUUCUCCAUUGCCCAUCUUCAAUCACGUGGUUUUGGUUCUUAAUUUGAGAAUUAGGGUUGUAUUGUUCUGCUUUGUUUAUUCUGUCUUGGUUACAGCCUUACAGGGGAUUGAGAGAUCGAGGGAUGAAGAAGAAGCAGCGCCCUCCACGUCCUUGAGCCGCUCCCUCCGUUCAACGCCCUUGCCGCCUACGACCUCUGCUCCCGCCGCCGCCUCUUCCUCUCCCACCUCCCCUCCGAACUAAAACGCCCCAUCCCUUAUCGCACUGAGACCUUUUUCUUGUUCAUCUGCACUGCACUGGAAAUUUUGAUGGAGGAGAUCUGGAAAGCUCAGAUCUUGAACUAAGAUUUGCUCAUGUUCAUAAUCAUAAGGCUCAGCAAAGAAAAAGAGGAACUCGUUGAAGGAAUCUGGAAUAUCAGAUGUGGAAGAUUUUGUGGAUACGAAUCUUUGAAGGAGGAGAUCUGGUCCCGUUGUGCGGUGGUGGUGGUGGCAGGUCGGAGGUGAGGAGAGAGGGGCAGAGAAGUGAGAGAUGUUGAGGAUGGUGGUCUGGUCCCGUUGGGGUCAAGGACAUUUUAGUAAAUUUAACAUUCAACCAAAAUUAAUCUCAACCAUUUAAUUUUAAACUAUUAUAUCUGAUGGAUAUCCUUUAACUGAACCACCAUGAGACAGUUUUAAACUGUACCACUGAAGACAACACCAUUUCCUGUUUUGAAUUCUUAUCUCAUCUUAUAAUAUAAUCUAUUUUUGAAUUUUUAUCUUAUCUUAUAAUGUAAAUGUAAUAUAUUUUCAAAACUAAAUACAACUCUUCUAGGUGCACUUUCCCGACCUUUAUCUGAUUUGAUUUUACUAUUUUCUCAUACAAUAAUUAGUUGAUUGAUAAUGUCACAUAAUUUUAUGCAUUCUUUCAUUCGAUAACAAAUAUUUCAAAAUACAUCCUCCGGUCACAUAUAUAAGCAAAAAACACUUUUUAGGUUCAUUCAUUUAAUGAAUGUAUCUAGUUGUUUUAAUGACUAGAUACAUUUAUUAAAUGAAUGAACAUAAAAAGUGUUUUUUGCUUAUAUAUGUGACCGGAGGGUGUAUUGUUCUAUCUCAUAUAUACUCCAUCCUAGGGGUGGCAAUAUGGGUUGGCGGGCCGGGUUGGACCCAACCCGCCACUAACCCGUCGAAAUGCGGGUUGGGUUGGGCUAGCCCACUUUUGGUAUUUGGGUUCAAAGUCUCAACCCAACCCAUAUUUUGACGGGAAAACGGGUUGGCGGGCUAGCCCACUUAGAAAAUGUAGUGAAAUAAAAAAAGAAAUGCAAUGAGAAAUUUUAAGCAAUCUUUCAAUUUUUAUAUGUUGACACAUGAAAAAAGUAGAAUUAUACUUGUUCUUUAUCUUUAAAUGUUAUGAGUUCAACUAGAAAGUCUCACCAAUAGCAAUAACAAAAAAAUAUUUAUCAUGUGUGGUUAUUAAAAGUUGUAAAACUGUAACCUCACUAGUAACAAGAGUUUACUUUAGCCAAUAAUAGUCAAUCAACAAUUAUAAAAUAUAAUGUCGAGUAGUUAUGAAAGUUUUAGACAAAAAAUAACCUACGAAUAAGAGCAGCAACUUAUAUAGGUGAAUCCAUUGAAGGGAGUUUUCAAAAUAAUUUUUUUUUUUUAGUUUAGGUCUGUCGUAUUAUAUGCGCACCUUAAAAUAAUCUACUGAAAGAAUAAAAAUAGAAAUAAAUUUUAAAAAAUUUCAAAAAAAAAGUGAAAAAUGGGUUGGCGAGCUAGCCCAACCCAACCCGUCAUUAACCCGCCAAAAUACGGGUUGGGUUGACCCACUUUUAAAUUUGGGUUCAAAAUCCUAACCCAACCCGUCAAAAAAGGUGGGCCAAACGGGCUGGCCCAGCGGGCCAAGCCCAUUUUGCCACCCCUACUCCAUCCGUUCCUUAUUAACUGUCCACUUUAGAGUUUCAAGAGAGUAUUAAUUGAUGUUUUUCCAAGAAAUGUCCUUACAGAAACAAUAAAUGAAGAAAGAUAAAAUACAUUCUAAAGGGUUAUAUAGGAAAACAAAUAAUACUUUUAUGAAAAUCAAUACAAUUAAUUGAUUUCCUUAAUUUGUGUGAACUUUCUCUUCCUGGACAGAUAAAUAGGAGCGGAGAGAGUAUUUCGCAUUUUGAAAAUGAUGAUACUCCCUCCGGUCCUUAUUAUAAGAAACAUUUGACUUUUUAGGUUCAUUAUGUAAUUGAUGUAUCUAGUCUAUAUUUAGUAAAAGAUACAUUAAUUAUUCUAUGAACCAAAAAAGUCAAUUGUUUCUUGUAAUAAGGACCAGAGGGAGUAAUAAAUUAAUACAAUUACAAAAUCAUUGAUCUCAAUCAUUAUUAUUAUAUAAACUUAAUAAAUUUAGUCUCGAAAUUUGAUCAUUACAAUUAUUAAGUUUCAUAACAUUAUUUAAUUUCUUUGAUUACAAAUUGAUGUAAAUUGAUACAAUUACUAAAUCAUUGAUCUCAAUAUUUAUUAUUAUAGAAACUUAAUAAAUUUCAUUCCAAAAUUUAGCUAUUAAAAUUAUUAAGUUUCCUAACAUUAUUCAAUCUCAUUAAUAAAUUAAUGAAUCAAAUACACAUGCUAAAUGAUAGUGCAAAUUAAUUUGAAACGAUCGUGAUAAGUCAAAUAUUAAAAACUGAAUAGUCUGAUAUCAAUACCAAUGUUAUUUUCAUACUAAUAAAUUUUGUAAGAAAUUAUGUAAUUUUCGGUUUUGGUUUCAAAUUUUCAAAAACAAAACUUCAACUUUUUGAUUAUAAAUACAUGUUCAACAACGACGAUUGCAUUUUAUAAGAAUAUUUUUACAAUAAUUUGAUUGAAACUUAAUAAUUUUCAUGACAUACAUCGCAGGGAUAGAAGUGCAGCAGGCUGCCGACAGAGGCCUGUGGCUUAGCCUACAUCAGACUCAGGUCAAGUUAAGCCAAAUUAAUAAAUACACAAGGUCAAUGCUUUUUGAAAAGUCUUUAUGAUUAAAAAUGUUAGACUUAGGCUACUCGAAAAGCCUUAUAAGCCUAACAGACCGAUUUAUUUUAAUAAAUAUAAAUUUAUUUCAUUAUUUUUUGAUUUUAUUUCUAUAACAAUAUUAAAAAGUUAUAUAUUUAUUGACUUAUUUAUAUGUUUAAGCAUUUAGACUAAAUAAUUAUUUGAUCGUAUAAACCUUCAUAGAUAUAGAGUGAUGACCUAUUUACUUUUACUUAGACGAUAUAAUGAUAGUAUUAUAUUUUUUUCUCUUUAGUUAUAUAAGUUUGUUGACAUGUGUACAAAUAGAUUUGUUGGUAUACUUGAAUGUCAUAUGAUAAAACAGACUUUUAAAUAGGCUACGAGGCUAUGUGAGACUUUCAACAGAUCAAGGUUUAGGAAAAAAAAGAAAGCCUAUAAUAAAUAACACACUAGACUCAGACAUGCAAUUUUUUUUUUUGAUAAAUCGCAUGUCAUAAUUUGUUUAGGUUUUCAAGGGUUUGGAGGCCCACUCACAUAAACACAAGUAAAAGAAAGGCUUAAUUGCAACUUUGGUCCCCGACGUUUACCAAUGCCACGAUUUUGGUCCCCCACCUAAUUUAAUUAUAUGGAUGGUCCCCGACGUUAUAGGCUGCGUGCAACGUUAGUCCUACCGUUUAUUUCUUAAUGGAGGAGGAUUACGUGGACGUCUAGUUGGAGAGAAAAAGGAGAUCUGAGGAGAGAGGGGAGCACGUGAGUAUCACGUGAACCUUAUAUGAACCCAUUAUACUCAAAUCUGAAACCCUAGGGAUCUAAAUCGCGUUACCUUCUUCGUUCCAGGGAGGUCAGGGGUUUAGGUAUAAUGGGUUCAGAUAAGGGUCACGUGAUACUCACGUGCUUCCCUCUCUCCUCAUACCUCCUUUCUCUCUCCAACUGGACGUCCACGUAAGCCUCCUCCAUUAAGAAAUAAACAGUAGGACUAACGUUGCACACGGCCUACAACGUCGGGGACCAUCCAUGUAAUUAAAUUAGGUGGGGGACCAAAAUCGUGACAUUGGUAAACGUCGGGAACCAAAGUUGCAAUUAAGCCUAAAAGAAACAAGACAUAUUCCACCUUUGCGCCGAACAUUACACUUGUGAUCACAACUUUCUGCAAAACCACAUGGACCUAUAAGAUUUGUAAAUCCGAUGACUCCUGGGAUAGGCAGACAACUGUAAAUACAUGUGCAAAGGUCUCCCUUAACAUCACAGUACCAUUUUGAACCACUUUUCGAGAUUUUACAAUCUCUAUCACAACUCCCAAUAGGACCACAAUUUCCCAAAAUAUCAAAACAUGUAUUUCCUUUCACCUUUAUUUAUCCUGUGAUCCACAAUAUAAAAACACACAAUAGGUAUAUAAAUAAUAACAACUUCUAAAGAGCAACUUUAGAAACUAUGAAAUACCAUGGGGAAACUUUUGUAUCUCUCUAUGUAUUGAAAAAAGAGAAACUUAAAUCUCAUGAGAGAAUUGCCCCACCUAGUAUACUAGCGCGUCUGUCCUUGGUUGGAGCGUCACUUCAAAGACCCCCAAACAUGCAUCUUUAACUUGAAUAGUAGAGUCAAAAAAACCCUAACAUUCCACUGCCGCCACUUCAAAGAAAAAAAUUUAGUUCACAAAUUCCAUUUUUUUGUUCGAACACCAACAAUAUUCUCAUCCUCUUCCUCCAUCAUGUGUACCUUUAAUCAAAUUGAAACAAGAAACCUAAAUUAAAAAUACAACAAAACAAAAAUAGAAACAAUCCAAAAAAUCAAUCAAGAGAGAAAGGAGUAGGAUCUAUAUGUGGCAGGUUGUGUGGAUGUUUGCGAGGAAGAUGGAUUAUGACAACGACGAGUAGAAGGGAUACUCCAAGGAUUUCUGUUUGGGAAUUUUGCGAGCAAACUGCUUGUCAAGAUGGCGACAAACAAUCAGAGAAAUGCUAAGGGAAACAAAAAGAUUAUAUCGACGAAGAAAAUCCACCACAUUCUGGGAAAGCCAUAUCUAAUGGCGGAAAUAAAAACAGAGAAUGAACCUGGGGAGCAGACAAACGUGCGGCAGCGAUGACCAUAAUGAAAGGGGAAAACCCUUGAUAAUGACUAAUACAGUGGCGAUGCCAGAAGACCCGGCACACCAUCACCAUCACCUUAAGAAGGGAGUGGUCUUGGCUCCAUCAUCGUCGGCGAGAACCGAAAAGGCACAAACUUGAGAUUAAUGUCAAACUCAAGUACAUUUUUAAGUUUGUAAAUAUUAUUCGAAUUUAAUGUAGGUAGUUUUUUUCGAGCAUUAAAUUGCUAUUGCAAUCCCGACUCAAGUAUGGUGAAAGGCUAAAUGUAUCGCCAAUAGUGCGACUCAUAAUGAUCAAGCUCUCAACUUAAGACGUUCAAACAAUCACUUUCUACCACUGACCGACCCUCAUUGAGUUUUAAUAUAUUUAAUCAAAAAUUCAAGUGAGUUUAUUGAUUACUAAUUAUUAAUCCUAAUUAUCAUUCGAAGUGAGCAACCAUGUCUUUAUCUAAUUAUCGAGUGCCGCCAUGAUUCUCUCUAUAUAUAAAGCUAACCACAAGCUUGAUCACCAUUUUUAGAGAAACAACAACAACAUAGGAUUGGAGAAGCAAGAUCGCACAAAUUCCGACAUUGUCUUUUGUUUCAAUUUAGGGCAUAUUCUGUUCUGAGCAUUGGGGCAUCUUCCAAAAAUUCUUCUCAAUCUGAUCCAUUUCUUCCUCAGGUUUUCCGUCAAUUCCUUGCUCACACACUCUCCCCAUCAAAAAUUUCUCUCCUGGUCCUGGAUCUUCGUUUGUUUGACUUAGGUUUACCAAGUUCUGUUUUUUAUUUUCAAAUUCACUAUUAUACUCAAGACAUUCUCGUUCAGAUUUUUUUUGUUGGUUGAGGAUGUUUUUCGAUGACCCUUUUGUUACCACAUGAUAAUUUCUGAUCAAAGUUUGAUCCUUGAUGCACCAUUGAAUUGUUCUGAUCAGUUUGAUUCUCAGACUGGAAUAAAUGUCUUUGCUUUUUUGAACAGAGUUAAAAUUUCACAUGCUGCAAAAUUUUCAUGGUUUUGAGGCAAUGAUCCUGUGUGCUUUUUGAUUCAGCAGUUUUUGCAUCACCAAUCUUGUUCCCAUGGCUCAUUUGAUAACCUAUGAUCCUAGUACCCAUUUCAGCAAGGCUUUUUCCAAGUACCCUUCUCUUUCUUCUUCUGAGGUUAGAAGAGGCAUUAGGUUCACUCUUAGAGGCUGCUAUGAUGCUAGUGGCAGUGUUAAUGGUAAUAGGGUCUUUCUGAAGAAGGAAAAUACAAAGGGUUUUUCAUAUCUUCCUCGGCCCCCCUUGUUAGGUGGUUUAGAGAAGGGUACUUCUGUUAGAGAUGAUGGCCGUGAUGCUAAUCAUGUUAAUGUUGAACAUGGAUCUCCGGGUGGAAAUCCUGCUAUACCCUUUUGUUUCCCUGAUCAACAUGCUUCUCAGAAACUGGUUGUUGCUGUUGAUGUUGAUGAAGGUAUGUAUCCAGAAUGGUGAUCAUUUUCCAGUUGUAGUAUUCGAUUGCAUUGCCUUUUCUUUAUUUUUUUUUUCCUAUAUGCAGUUAGUGUUAAGAAAAAGUAGUCAGAUUAUGCUGCAAUUUUGUCAAAAGCUUCAUACAUGUUGGAUAUAUAUUGUCCUGAAUUUUGCAUGGUACAUGUGUGAGUGAGUUGAAGCAUAUUUACAUUUACUUUUGUUAAAUGUGAACUUAUAGAGUUUUAGGAUUAUCCACCUUUGCUUUCCCUCUGAUGUGUAUGUUUUUAUCUGGGUUUUUUCCCCCAUUUGCAGUGUUAGGAAACUUUGUGUCAGCUCUAAACAAGUUCAUAGCUGAUCGGUACUCAUCAAAUCAUUCAGUUUCUGAGUAUCAUGUGUACGAGUUCUUCAAGGUAUCUCAUGGUGACUGCUUCAGCAAUUCUAUGUUUUCAGUAAUUGGAAAUUUGGAAUUUGCAUUAACAAUAAUUAAACAACUUGCAUGUUCUUUCAGAGGCCAGUUUUAUUGAAACCAUACUUAUGAAGUUAGGCUUAUUAGAUGAUUUAACAUUAUUUGGUAUUAGUAUUCCAUGAUGUAUUAUGCAUGACAUAUGUUUAAGUUAAAGAUUUGUUAGCUGGGGGUGUGGGAAUUUGCAAUGUGUUUUAUCUUUUUGUUUUUCAUUUUGCCUGGUGCCUGCAUGUUUUAAAUGGGGAACUUUCUUCUGCAUUUAGUGACAGGGUAUCAUCAUUAAGUGCUUUAUUAUUACGAUUUCAUAUUUCCAUUACUGUUUUUCUGUUAUUGGCACCGCAUACAAGAUCCAGGGACAUAUAUGUUCCAUCUAUAUCUACCCUGAUGUUUAGGGACUGAAUUUUGUGUAAAUCUUUCCUUUUUCUGUAGAGUACUACUAAUGAAUAGAAUAUGGAUUUUUCUUCUUACUCCAGCUCUUUGAUGGCUUUCUCAAUGUUUUUAGACUUUUUGUAACCCUUCACUCUGUGCGCUUUUACAUUAUCUUGCCUUGAGGUGCAACUUAUUGAUGCUCAAAGUUUAUCUGACUUUGCUCCCCUAGGUGCUACUGAAGAAAAUUUCACUGAUAGAAAUUUAAUCCGUACCCUUAGCAUUUAGUCUGCUGUAUAGCAUUGAAGUUUGAGCAUAUUCGUAUUUGAGAUGUCUGAUGCAUCCUUCAUUUCUGUUACAGAUAUGGAACUGUUCACGUGAUGAAGGUAGCAUCGUCCGUCGGACAAUUACCCUGAUAAUGCAUAUUGUGAAUCAGUCUUGCUACUCUAUUUCUAAUGAAAUUCUCUGGAAUUAUCAAUAAGAUAAUAAAAAAUUCUUUGAAAUUCUUAGGAUUAUAUGAUGGUGGACUGGUUAAAAAUUAAUACCUUUUUCUUGUGCAGCUAAUAACCGUGUUCAUGAGUUUUUUAACACACCAUACUUCAAGUCAGGGAUCCACCCCAUCCCAGGCGCUCAGGUGGCCCUGCAGAAUUUAUCAAGAUUUUGUAACCUAUCAAUUGUAACGUAUGCUUCUGGUAUUGAUUUUACUUCAACCUGCACUAAAAUCUGGUUACCAUCCACUAAUAGCUAUUUGCAUAUGUCAAUGAUCAGAUCUCGGCAGAAUGCAAUCAAGGACCACACAAUCGAGUGGAUAGAUAAGAAUUUUUCAGGGUUGUUUCAGGAGAUUCACUUCGGAAACCACUUUGCUCUUGAUGGGGCGUCAAGACCAAAGUCAGAGAUUUGUAGGUAUGUCAACCUUCAAUUCUCUCCUUUUGCCUAAAACCUGGUGCCUUAUUAUCAACUUUUUGAACUAUGCUCUGCAUAGGCAGAUCCAAAUCCUUCUAGUUCUAUGUCCCUUUUAAAGUUGAAGCCUUACAGGUUCAGAUGCUUGUUGUUGAUAGAUUCUUAUGCACUGUCAGGUCUUUAAAUGCUAAGGUUCUUAUUGAUGACAACCCCAGAUAUGCCAUAGAGUGCGCUGAAGUUGGAAUUAGAGUUCUACUUUUUGACUAUGAAAACUCCUAUCCUUGGUGCAAGACUGAGUUUGCUGACCAGCAUCCUCUAGUGAAGAGAGUUAAGAACUGGGAAGAAGUUGAACAACAAUUGAUGUCAUUGGUAGUUUCAUAGUUAGCACUAGAUCCUGCAGCAGGAUUUGUUAAAAUACUCUUUUUAGAUGAAGUACUGGACUAUAUUUCUUGUCUGAAAUAUUUAGCAUUCAUGAAAAAGAGAUUAGGUCUAGGCAGAAAAAAUAUAACUUAGCCGAUUAUGUUAUUUCCCCAUUUUGAGCAGUAACAAAAGUUGUUCAUUAUGCCAAAACAUGUUGGCUAUUUACAAUGUUCUAUGGUGUUGGAUCUUACAAUAGUAGAAUUCUUUUCUGGGUUGGGUUAUUUGGUUAUAUGUGGAUCAAAUGUAGGAGGAAUUGGUUAUGUGGAUCACAUUUCAUCAUUGUGUCAGGAGCAGAGUUUUUGGGAAGGUUAUUUAGAUUUUAAGUCCUUUCCAAUGGUUUGGCUUGUAGUUUUUAAUUGUUUUAUUUCUAAUUAUUAAGCUAUUCUUCACAUAAUCAACUCUUGUUUGACCUUUUCCAGUUUUGUAAUUGUUUUAUUUACUCAGAUCAAACUUUGCUAGUCAAUCACUUACGAGCUAUGAUGCAUUAAAGGGAAAUAUAAACCCUAGGUGAGAGUUUACUAAUUGCGGCCGCUACCUUCCCUCCCCCAAUGAGUGGUCUGGUGAGGAUUUUCUCCUCAAUAACCAAGUGAACACAGUUUCAGCUGCCACCCCCUCAGGGGGAUUUUCUUCUCCUUUUGAGGGUUAAGGUGGCUGUUUUUAUUUUGUGAGAGUUUAUUUUCUCCUUUCCCUACCUCUCCAUCCCCAUCAAAGCCUCCAUCUAACGUUUCCUCCUCCAUUCAUCGAGAUCUUCUAUCUCCCAUUUGAUCUAGAAGGAUGAGAAAGAAAACAAGAUAGAUCACAGGGCAUUAAUGAACCCAUCUACUUAAUGAAACACAAUUGGGUGCUCCUCCUAGGAGGAUAAUAGAAACCCAAUCAACUCUCUUCUAAAACCUAACUCACUAAUUUUCCAAUUGAAUUUGAAUCAUAUGAAUAUCUCCCAAUUUUCAUUGGGAGCAUUAAGCAUAGAAAGAGAACUCAAUGAAAUAAAAAGAAACUUUAUAUAUUGAUUGAAUUGAACUCUAAACUGUAAAUGAAUCAAUUACAUCACCCUUUAGUACUUUGAGGUUUAGCUACACAUGAUUGGUAAGAAAAAGAAGAAUAAACCCUACGAGUUCCAAGAGAACAUAAUCUUUGAGAUUGGAUUCCUCCAAAUCCCUAGCUACAGUGCUAUGCAAAACCCUAAUGUUCCGACUCCUUUGACACAAUGAAUGCCUCAAAAAAUGUGUAACACCUCAUUCAAGAGACUCAAUUGUUUUAAUUGGUAACGCUGGUGCAUUCUCUAGAUCCAUCGCACAACGCUCCGACACCGACUUUCUCUUAACCCACCAAUAUAUCACUGCCAAAUCUUGCACAAAUAACCCAAAAAAGGAAAACAAAUCUUGAACUAAAAAAAUUCCUAAACUAUUAAAAUAAAUGCAAUUAAAUAAAAGCUCUAUAAUAAGAAGUGCUAAAGUAUCUAAUUUAUUAAGUAUUAACUAAAAAUCUAGUAAGAAAUAUGCAAUUAUACCUGUUAUCUACAAUAACAGUAGCAACCAUGAAUUGAAAUCUUGGCCUACCUCCCAUGACUGGCCCCUGAAAAUAAUGCUAAAUACAAGGACCCUACCAUCCAUACUGUCUAACAGCUGCUGCAGUGCAAUGCAAGUAACCAGCAAGCCUGGGCACUUGAUGUAUUAAAAACAAACAAACAUGCUAUUUUUGUUUAAAUUCAUUCUGGUAGAAUAAAUAAGAUCCUCUACAUGCACCCUGAAAGGGAAAACAAAUAAAUAGUGCAGGUAGGGUGAUAAUUUCUUUGAAGUUUGAAGAGUCACAUUGAGAUGUCAAAAUUGGGUAGGCAGAAACAGAAGCAGACACCGUGUGUGGAUGGCUACAAAGGCAAAGGACAAGAUAACCUCGGGAGAGUGACGUGCCCACAUUCCCACAGUGAUCCCACCUUUUUUUAGAUCACAAGAAUCUUUCACUAAGACAAUUUUGUUCGAGUCAAAUCACUAUAGGUGAUAAAACUUUUCUUAACAAGUAUUUAACUCAACUAGAUUUCUAAAGACUCAAACCCGAGACAUCUGUUUCAGCUAGAACAACCUUGCGUGUGUUGAUAGCUUAUCAAAGCGCUUUACCCCUUCUUUAUUAUGCACUCUGCCACCUUAUUUUCAGAGGCUGACUAAGUCACCAGUACUACUUCCAAGUUGCAACCCUCUUAAAUUCGAAUUAAUCAAACACAUCUUCAGACAGACUUUCAUAACAAUCCGCACCAUAAAUUAUUCUGGAAAAAAAGUAUUCUUGAAAUUUAAUUCCCUUACCUGCCCAACUAACCAAAACAUGCUUAAAUUUAAUUCCCUUCUUCCCCUUUGGCCCUUUAAAUAUGUAAAGCAAUGCAAGUCACCUCCAAGUGUUCAACUUACUGAGCUGUACUAUACUUUCUUCUUCUUCUUCUUACAAUGGCUCUUUCUUCAACUAAACAGUUAAGUCAAACACUAAUGGGAAUACCCAUUAUCACAUUCAUCUUCUUGUUUCUAGGACUGCAUGCUGCUGCUCCCACUAACUUCGUUGGAUCAGAGUCCCUGAAGGUUUCUCCUCCUGAAUUUGCCGGGUCAGUGAGAGAUAUAGUUGACAUCCUUCAUGAAGUCACCUCCAUUCUCUCCGAAUUCGGCGGGGGCACCGGCUUUGGCGAUUCUCGUGUCUCUAACGCCAUAUCUGAUUGCCUCGACUUGCUUGAUCUCUCCUCUGAUGCGCUUGACUGGUCCGUCUCCGCAACAGAGACUCCCAAAGGUACCAACCAUUGCGCUAGCAACACUCUUUUUUCAACACUUUCUUUUUUCAACACUUGCAUGUAUUAUUUAAAUUCAUGUGGGUCCCACUAAAUUCGAGGUGCGACCCAUAUGUGUUGCUACCAUUUUUUCAAGUACUUAACUGCCAAAAUCUAAUCCAAUUUCAUCAGCAUUUUCUGUUUUUUGUUUCUCUAGUAAAAGACAAAAGUUAGAAACAGGGGAUUUCAAAUUUUCAACUCAUAUUUUGUUGUAGGGAAGAAUAACAGUACUGGGAACCUAAGCUCUGAUCUGAAGACAUGGCUAAGUGCUGCAUUGUCGAAUCCAGACACAUGCAUGGAUGGGUUUGGAGGAACAAAUGGCAUGGUGAAGGGUCUAGUGUCUGUUGGCCUUGGCCAAAUGAUGUCGCUGCUGAAGCAACUCCUGACUCAGGUGAACCCUGGUUCGAAUCACUUCAGCGCGACCGAGGGCCAAGGCCAAUUUCCUCCAUGGGUCAAACCAGGAGACAGGAAGCUGCUGCAGGCGGAAAAUGGGGACCGUGUGGAUGCUGUGGUGGCGGCUGAUGGGAGCGGGAACUACACUACGGUAAAGGAUGCGGUGUUGGCAGCACCUGAUCAUAGCUUGAAACGUUUUGUGAUAUAUAUAAAGAGGGGUGUUUACCAUGAGAAUGUUGAGAUCAAGAAGAAGAAGUGGAACUUGAUGAUGAUCGGAGAUGGGAUCAAUGCUACUGUCAUUUCCGGUAACCGGAGCUUCGUCGGCGGUUCGACAACGUUCCGGUCAGCUACCUUUGGUGAGAACACACUUCUUAAACUACUAUUGCAACUAACAAUAUUAGCUAGCUAAUACAAAUAUUAAUGAUAAUCAUAAUAAUAAGGCUCACAUCCCCGGUUGUUUAUCAUAGUUAUUGCACCGGUCUCAAUGACUUUCCCUCCCUCUUAUAUUAUUUAGAAUAAUAGAGAACAUGGCAUGUUAUAAUAAUAAAUCUUAGGAGAGGUGAAUGUAAAUAAAUUUCAAGAAGGUUAGUGCAAUAUUACUAAUAAAAUAAGGGUAGUUAAUAUCAUAUUAAACAAUAAAAUGAAGAUCGGUGUAACAAUAAUAAACCUGAAAAAGAUGAGCGUCAUUUGCUUUCAUAAAAUAAGAGUAGUGACUAAUUGAAAGACUAUAUAUUAGAUACUACUAUCUUGUUAAGCUAUUUGAAUACUUUUUUUAGUAUAGUAAAAAAAUACUUUUAUAAUGAUUAAUGGAUACAAUGUUAACAAAAACAAAAUGAAGUGCAUCCAUCUUAUUAUUUUUUGAAGUCAAAGUACAUCCAUAUUCAAAACAUGUAAAAAGUACUUUCUUCGUUUAUUAGUCAAAGAAUUAUGAAGAGUAUAGGUUUGAAACAAAAUUCAAAUUAUGCAUACCGUUGUAAUCUUUUUCUUUUUUCAGAAAGCUACAAAAUUGCUAUAAUCAAAGGUUUUUUCUUGGUCAAGAUUAUGAUCAAAGGUAACGGUAAUGAGAAACAAUCCUUCUCAUUAGAUAAAAAAUAACCCCUAACAAAUAAGAAUACCCUAGAGAGACAGCCAACAUCGCCUUCCAAUCUGUUAAAAAAAAAUUCUACUUCCAAUAAAAAUGUUUAAUCUUUUAUGUAUUAAUCAUAAUGAGAAUUUACUUUCAAUUUAAUAGGCUUAAAUUAAUUAAUUUAUGAAUUUCAUUCCUUUUUACUAAAUUAGUCUUUAAACUAUACAAAGCUAAUAAAAAUGUUUUACUAUAUUUAGAAGAUUAUGUUAACAAGACAAGCAAACCUGUAGAUAAUAAUAGUGAUUCAACCUCGGGACUUGCAAGUAUGCUGAAUGCAUAUAUAAUGGUAAAUAGUUAAGUUCCUUAAUCAUUUAAUUUAUUGUUCGAUUAUUGAGUGUUGUGUAUAAAGAAAGAUUUGUUAAUAUUGUCGUUGAGCCUCAAAAUGAGUAGUCUCAUUGUUGCCGGAUGCGAUGAUACAUUUAUAAAAAAAAAAUACAUAUAAUCCAAGAGAGAAAAGGAGAUUAAUUUGGCAGUAGAAGUAAUUGAGAGUUUUCUCGAAUAAUGACAAUAAUGUGGUGAAAUAUGAAACCUGGAGUUCAUUCCUAGGUUAGGUAAUGUCUAAUCCCCUAUUAUGUACAUUUAUAAGCAGGCAUGACAUGGUAUACCCCAAACCCUGUCACAUUUAUUUCACUAAACUACUUGUGAGACCAAAAACUUCUUUUCAACAUGAUGAAAUGAAAGCAACUAACUAGCAACUAAUCCUCAUCAGGAACAUUCAUGGAAGGCAAGUCCCUGAAUGUUUUUUUUUUAAAAAAAUUAUUUUAAAAUGUUAUCCAAGACAACAUAAUCCAUAUCUCCAACCUACUGAUAAUGAAAAAUUAAAUGAUCAUGUGCUGCAACUAUAACAUUUAUAAGGCCUGAGAAUCUGGUCUUUUUCAACAGCUGAAAUCUCUGACCCCAUUCUCAUGUGUUUGCUUGCUUCAUUUGAAUAUUUUUUCCUUCCUGUGUGGGGCAUGUGCAGCUGUGAGUGGUAGGGGGUUCAUAGCACGAGACAUCACCUUCCAGAACACUGCAGGGCCAGAGAAUCACCAGGCAGUGGCCCUAAGAUCUGACUCUGACCUCUCUGUAUUCUACCGAUGUGGGAUCUUCGGUUACCAAGACAGCCUCUAUGCUCACACCAUGCGUCAAUUCUACCGGGAAUGCAAGAUCAGUGGCACCGUGGAUUUCAUCUUUGGAGAUGCAACCGCGGUGUUCCAACAUUGCCAAAUACUCGUCAAGAAAGGCUUGCCAGAUCAAAAGAACACCAUCACAGCUCACGGUCGAAAAGACCCUGGGGAACCAACCGGUUUCUCCAUACAAUUCUCUAACAUCUCGGCCGAUUCAGACCUUCUCCUUUCAGCUAAUCACUCCACCACCCACACGUACCUCGGGAGACCGUGGAAGCAAUAUUCUAGAACAAUUCUCAUGCAGUCUUACAUAAGUGAUGUGUUAAGACCGGAAGGGUGGUUAGAGUGGAAUGGGGAUUUCGCUCUGGAUACAUUGUACUAUGCUGAGUACAUGAAUCAUGGGCCAGGAGCGGGCCUAGCCGACCGAGUUAAAUGGCCGGGGUACCAUGUGAUGAAUGAUUCUAGACAAGCUAGUAACUUCACAGUGACACAAUUUAUUGAGGGGAAUCUGUGGUUACCUUCCACAGGUGUAACUUUCACUGCUGGACUGGGAGUUUAAACCACUGUUGUCCAUGUUGUUCUUGCUAAUUCAAGUGGUUCUUUGGAGUUAUGUGGUCCAAAAAAUGAUGGUGGUGGUUGGUGUUCAGUUUCAUUCAUUUUUGUACUUGACUAUUUAAGAAUUCUUUACUUUUGGUACCUGAGUUCUGUAUUUCUCAAUUUUGGAUGAAAUUUGUUGCAAUAUUGCACUGGAAACAUGGCUCCUUAAUCAACCAGUUCCUGGCUGCUUGUAAUCCAGAUUGAUUGUAAAAACAUGUUUAUGAAGCUCAAUUAUGUUCAGUUCAUGGCUAAUUGGAUGUAAGACUUAGCAUGCUUUGAUCUGACAUAGACCAAACCAAUAAUGAAAUCUGAUUUGUUUUUUCAAAAUAUGUCACAUCUCACAUCUAUUUAGGCUUGCAAUGAAAAUAUAUAUUUGGAAUCAUAUUCAAGACAAUAAAUAAUAGUAAGACCUGUAUUAUAUGGGAAUGAGCACCAUAUACAAGCAAGUGACAAUAACAAAGUUCAUGCUAUUUAUUCACAAAUUAAACAUGAGAUGCAGAGUAAGAUACAACACACACUUCUCAAUAAACAAUACAAUAAUUCACCAAUGAUAAUAUAAUUGCUUAGAUAGUUAUAGAAAAUCCACAACUGAACUUUGAGCAAAAAUAUUACGCCAAGAGAUAAUAGUUAUCAGUCAUGUUCAACAACAGUUACAAUGAUUACCAGCUUGUUUGGAUGUUCGUUGAACGCACACUCCAAGACACCUUAGCUAAGAAAAGCUACGUACUGCAGCUUAUGGAUGAACUUGAUUUUGGGGUCUAAAAGUGGAUUGCAAAUAUCCAAUCAAACUAAGAAAAGCUACAUACUGCUGCAGCUUAUGGAUGAACUUGAUUUUGGGGUCUAAAAGUGGAUUGCAAAUGUGCAACCAAACAUAUCUUAUGGUGGAACUAUGGUGCUUCCACACCUUCACUUACCUUCUCUUUGAAUGACUUAGUGUGGAGAUCUUGUGUUAUUUGAGUGGUUGUAUCUAAGAAGUACAGAGCAAAUGAUGUCAAGCAGCAACAAGCAAACACGGGUAUGGGCCCAUAAAUCCAAAGGACAAGAGGAAUUGACAAGUAGAAUGCCUGCAAGCCAAGAGACCAAGCAUAAUUUGCACGGUUCAAGGUUUUCGCAACAUAUUCAAUGAAAUCCACUUUGCCUUUCAGUGCAGGACUUGUGAUUAAGAAGCUCACCUGUGCAUAGUAUCUUAUAGACUGCACAUUACAUAGAAAUGCAACAAGGAAGCAUACUGAUAUGCAAAGGCGUUUGAUUGAAGAAUUAAGGGAAGUUUUGUUUCCGUAAAUUAAUUUGGAUUCUUCUGUGUCAUUGCUCGCAAAGACGCCAAUAAGUGAACUGAGUGUGAUUGCAGUUGUAGCAAGAAGAGUAGAAGCCAUGAUAUUGUUGCGGAUUGUUUGAACGGCCAAAACACCAUUUUUCAAAGGGUCCUGAAGUGAAAACAAAGCAAGGGAGUAUGUUAAGGAAACAACUUCAUUCUUGAAAAUGUAAAAAAAUUGCUUCUAAAAUUGUGGGGUGUGGCAAGGUGAUGCAAGUAAGACUAUAAAGAAGAAUGAAUAUCUACAUUGGAAUAUCAACUAGUGAAGCAAUCUAUAGUUGUCUUUAGAGUAGGUAAAGCACUUGUCAAAUACAUUUCAUAAGCAUUCAAAUGUGAUCAAGAUCUUGUAGGGGCACAAAAUAUGAACCUUAAACUAUGCAAUAGCAAAGAACUAUUAAUACUAGCUAGCAAGCAGCAGUUCUUCAUGGCAUUAUAGAAUGUUAAACAAAUACCUCCAAAGUGAAAAGUGAAAAAUUAAAAACAAUUUCUCAUACCAACAAACUUGAAGCUGUUUGAACAAUUCAAUGGUGAAAGACAGACAAAAGGAAAUGAACAUUGCACUUUUUAUUCACAAGAUUGUGGUAAUUCUUCCUGAAAAUAGAUCCACUUAUAUUAGGAUUUUUUAGGUGAAAAUUAUCUUGCUCUCUCUUGAUAGGUUUUCACAAAGUUUGAUUGGGGCCUGACAAUUUAGUGUCUAUGAAGUAUGAGAUAGGAACAAUAUUUUCAAAAUCCAUGUCAUGUAAAAUACUGCAAAGGAAGAUUCAUUCCCAAUUUCACAUUUCCCUGAAAUAGCUUAAAGGACUCCUUCUGAAAUUUCUUUAAUUUGACUUAGCUCUGUUCCACCCUCUGCCUUGUGUCCAGGUACAGUAUAUAUAUCAGUAAAACAGUUAUGUUUUUCUUAUGUGGCAGGGCAGUUAUGCUUUAUAAAUUUGCAAUUACUAUUUGGAAUUAUUAGGGUAUAUUUAUCUAAGAUAAUCAUGAGAUUGGCAGGGUGGUUUUUUUGUCAGUUUAAUGAAAGGAAUAGAUUACUUGUUAGUUGUUAGAGGGAAAUUCUGAAUAAACUCAAAAGUUAAGGUGAAACCUGUGUCUAUUCCAUUGUACUCAAACCUAGCCUAAAAACAACAUGUUAGCCAGCAUGAAGCACCAUUGCACCAACUUCAGCAUAAAAUCCCCAGCUACUACAUAUUUUGUGCAACUCUUGAGAGAACCUCAUCUAGAAUAGCAGGAUAUAGGAUUGAAGUUUAGAAAACCUCAUGAUUGUUGAAUCCUUUGUUCACACAAUGACUGAAAUAGUAUUCUAAAUCUGAGAUCCUCAAAUUCACCACUCCUCAUUCACAGACAAAAUUAAACAUAAGAUGCAUUUUUUAACAACAUUCUCAAGAGCUAAUGGAUUUCUUAACAAUACAAAGUCAUUAAACAAUUAAGGGCCUGCAAGAAGUAAUGAACAUCUUCAAGUAAUACUAGAAUGGAAAGAGAGAGAGAGAGUACUGACACUCAUCAAGGCAAAAACCCAUUGAUAACGAGACUGAGCAUUCAAGCCAAUAACAGUGCGAGAAGGGUAACGGAUAAUAGUGUAGAGAAGCCAAACAUGAUAAAUUCCCAACACCAACACUCCCAAAGGCACCAAUAUGAAAUCCAAGUACUUUACUUCCAUGCUGCUUGUAUUGAUCUUCAAACUUGUAACUUCAAAAUUCUACCAUUCACCUCACUAUUGCAACCAACCACAUAUCUGACACUCACAACGGUUCUCUCCACUUCAAAAAUGUCAAGUUGGCAUAUAAAAAAUCAAACUAGUUCCACCUACACCCCACUUAUAAAAAACUUGCCUUCUUGUCUCCAAAACAAGUAAAAAUGCUAUUGCUUGCUGUUAGAAAUUAAUAAAGCACUUCAACAAUGGUAGCUGAAAUUGGAUCUGUGCAGCAAUGUUUUUUUUUGUUGGUACCUUUCUCCAAUCUUAAGUUUUGUUAUUUUGUUGUUUCCUUUCACUAUAGAGGCAACCGUUUUAUGCUUGUGCUAACAGACACACUUUGAGUAAAAAGAAAAAGUGAACUUAAUUGUUAUUAAAAUACAUACUUUGCUUUCAAUCUGUAUGUGAGAAUUGAGGUAUACAAAUGGCCUGCUUUUCUUUAGUGUCCCUGAUAUCCAAAUGGCGAAGCCAUAAGUUUAAGUUUGGGGUGACUAAAAUCAAACAUGUAAGAAAAAUUUUAUUGUGUCAGAUUAGUGAUGUGUAUAUCACUCUCUUAUUAACAAAUGUCUCAGUGCAGUUUCUGUAUAAUUUGCAUAAAAAAUAGUAUGAUAAUACGAGAAAAAAAUACAAGUAUUCUUCAAAUUGAAAGAUGAUGCAAUGAGAAGUUACAAAAUACAUAAGUUGGACAAAUGGACGCAUUAUUUGAGAAAAGGUCAAAAAAAUACUAAUAUUUUCUUACAUCUUCAAUAAAUUAGUUUUUUUUGUUGUUCAAAUUAGUUUCAUAGGCUAGACAAAUGGAGAUUGAGUAACUAUGCUGCAAAGUCAUAGACCACAGCCCAACUUCGAAAAUAAUAUUUUAUAAGCCCAAAUUAUUUUAACAGAACUUAAGCCCAACCUGGACAGAAGCUCUAAUCUUAUAAACCUAGAUAAUAUUUAGUUUACAAACUAAUUUCGCCUCCACCUUAUGAGAUAAAGUAAAAAUAAGAGAGAAAUGAGUGAUAUGAUUUGUGAUAGGAAAUGAAGAUAGAGAUAUGAAGAAAAAUUGGUGGAAAUGGAAGAGAAAAUGAAGUGUAUAUGUAUCAUUACUCAAGAAAAGAUCUUUUCUUUAGCCUUAAUCUAACAUGACUUCAGACAAAAAAAAAAAAAAACCUUCCACAGUCCAAAGUUUUUGCAACAUAUUCAAUAAAAUCCUUUUGGCCUUUCAGUGCAGGACUUGAUUAUGGAGCUUGCCGCUUACAUUAUUAUUAUAAGUCCUAGCUUACACAUUUGAUUCUUGUAAAUAAGUGAAACAUAAGAGGAAAUAUAAAAAUUGCAUCAUUGUAAGUCACACUAACAUUCACAUACGAUUCUUGGCAACAAGACAUAGGUGAUUCUUCUUGUGUCGGGCAAGUCCUUGUAGCCCUUCAUCAUCAAUGUCUUCCCGUGUCAUUCCAGGAGGCGUUUCCCAAUCAAAUGAAUUUAGUAGAUUUGCAACUAUGAGCUCCAAUGUGGCGAUUCCUUGUGGCAUGCCAGGGCAAACUCUACGUCCGGCACCGAAUGGAAUCAGCUCAAAAUCUCGUCCCUUAAACUCUAUGUCCUUGUUUAAGAAUCUAUCGGGACAGAACUCAUGUGGGUUUUCCCAUGCCUCAGGGUCCCUAUGGAUGGCCCAAACGUUUACAUACACUAUUGUCUUGGCCGGUACUUCAUACCCAUCUACAAUGAUACUUUUAAUUGUUUCUCUUGGUAUAAGCGGUGCCGGCGGAUAAAACCUGAGUGUCUCUUUUAUAACUGCCUUCAAAUAGUCGAGUUUUUGAAUAUUCACUUCAUCGAUGAAGUCUUUGUUGCCACAAAGAUUUCUUACUUCUUCUUGGGCUUUCUUCAUUGCUGUUGGGUUCUUCAUUAAUCCAGUCAUGAGCCAAACUGAUGCGGCUACACUCGUGUCAGUUGAUCCUAUAAGGAGGUCCUGUGAUGAUGAAAAACAAGUAUUGAGUAGGUGUGCUAGGCAAAAUUAAUGUAAGAAAUGAAUUAAUAAUGGAAAUUAAUUAAAUGAUACCUACCAUCAUGAAAGCUUUAAUGUGAUCAUCGGUGAGAUCAAUUGAGAGGGAACCCUGGUUCCUAAGCUGGAGUAGUGUUUCAACUAUAUCAUCCUCUUGGGUUUGAUCUUUGUCCCUAUUAGGAUCGAGGUGCUCCUCAAGGACUUGUUGGAAAAAGGCAUCGAAUGAGUUGAUAGUUUUAUCAAGACGAGCGAGUGAGCCUGUUAGUUUGUCGAUCCAGCCCAUGAAAGGAAUAUAAUCUGAAAAGAAGAAGGUUAGAAACAUGGCCUGUCCCUGAACAAGAAGGUUAUGGAAGAUGCUUGUUUCAGCUCCAUCCUCAUCAUAGAUUCUACCAAAAGCAAUCCUGGAAAUUGUACAGCUUGCGACAGACAUUAUGAUCUCACUCAAGUUUGUGACUUUGGAAGAAGAAACAUGGGUAGAUAUCUUUUGAAUCAUUUUCUUGACCUCAGAUUUUCUUACAUGGGCAAAGCUAGAGACCUUUUUGGCGCUGAAGAAAUGGAUGGCAGCAAUUUUUCUGAUUUCUCUCCAGUAAUCAUUGUAUGGGGAGAAAUUCAUGUCCAUGGCAUUGUAAGAAAUUCUUUUCUGGCUAAGUGUGGGAGCUCUGGUGCAAACAGAAAGAUCAUGGUCAUUGAGGAUCUUUUGGGCCAUUUUAGGUGUGGAAAUAAUGAUGGCUUUCUUGAUGCCGAAUCGAAGGGAAAAAAUUGGACCAUAGAUUUUUGAGAAGUUCCAGAGUUGAAAAUGGAAAUUCAAACUGUCAAGUUGAUGAAGGUUACCAAUGAUAGGAAGGCCUCUUGGACCAGGUGGAAGUGGAAGUGUCUUGCUGUUGGAUUUCUUCUUCAACAGGAUAAUGAAGAAUACCAACAGAGGAGGAAGAGCUAGUACCAAGUACUGAACAAAUGAGAAUGACAGUAUCAUUUUGCAGACACAAGACAGAUCAAGCUAGGAAUAAAGAUAUUAUCUGAUUUUGAUUUUUCUGAGUAAGAAACUAAGAAGAGAUAGAUCAAAUGUCUUAUGUUUUGGUUCCUGUCCUCUAAUCCAAUUUAUACACAUACAUACCUCUGCUUCUUCGGAUAUCAUAUGUUGUAGUCAAAUGCAAAAUAUCACGUUUAGAAUGCAAAGUCAAAUUGUGGACAUGAGACAAAUUUAUAUAUAUUACUAUUAUAACUAAAUAUGUCACGUUUCCAAGCAAUGCUUGCAUAUUAUAUUUGAUGAAUUUUUUGUUGGAUAGAGUGGGCUGUAGUUUAGUUUAAUACUUUGAUGAUAUCAUAAUAAUUAAGGUGAUUUUUAUAUUCUAACCAUCUUCAUAAUUGCUUGGCUCGUGCCUAAAGAAAAUGAAAGAUUGUUAACAACUAAAAAAUUUCAAAGUCUGGACAAGUCUGGGAGGAGCUGGGUGUUUAAUUUAUUUCCUUGAAGAUUGAAUUCAAUUAUUUGUAAACUGAAUUAUUUUAUUUUAAUAGUCUCUUUCUCAGCAUGAGUUAAAGACUCUUAUUAUGAAGAGGUGCCUUAGUUUUCUUUUUGAUUUGUAUUUUCUGAAGAAUAAAAAAAAUUGCCUCUCAUUUUCAUAUGAUUAAUUGAUUAAAGGGUAUAUAUGUUAUAAUAAUAAUUUAUCGGUUGCUUGGGCGAGAUUUCCGCGGCGUGGAGUUGCUGGUUCGAGGGUGUUUGCGGCUAGAGAUCAGAGUUCGUCGGAGCAUGCUGGGGUUCUUGCUGGAAUCGGGGAAGUGGGGAAUCGGCGUCUGUUGCCUUCUUCCGAGAGUGAAGAAUUGAUGAUUUCUGGCCUCUUUUGAGGCGGCUCGCCAUCCCCAAGCUUCUCAACUUCGGUGCUUUUCCCAGAAACCUCUUCUGCGGAUGUUAGGGGUAUUGAGGCGGUGGAGCUUUCUGCGGAUGCUAGGGGCUUUGAGACGGUGGAGGGGGAAGACGUGAUGCUGACGUCCUUGGGUAUUCUAUGUGAUGUACCCAUAGCUGCCUCUUGCUGUUCUUUACCUGGUAGCACAUCUAAUUUGGUUUCCAUAUCUUCUGAACUGGGGGUUUCUCAUGAUACUGGGUUUUCCGUACCCAGGGAUCAUGUGAAAACCCCGAGGGGAAGACCUAAGUAAGGUGAUGGUGGAGGCAGAAAGAAGCAAGGUGCUGCUGGGAGCUCUGGUGGUGCUAUGACAAUGGAAGCAGGCUAUACUGAUGCAGAGCAGACAGGGAAAGAGCUGAUGGUGUUGCCGACGGAGAUGUCGGAGCCUUAUGGCGUAUUGACUAGAGCGAGGAGUGCCGUCUUGAUGGGGAAGCGCUUAGGCUUGAGGUAUGAUUGCCCUGAUGAUAUCCCUCUCUUUCAAAUUGCCAAUGAGAUCAAGGCGCGGAAAGCUUCUCAGCGCCGUUGAGGGUGAGAUUUGGGGUGUUGGCGAGUUAUGGGCUGUAUAGGUUUUUUCCUAGUCCUUUGAGAGUUUUUGGGUAUUGCAAACAGCUUUUGGUUUUUGUAGUUGUUGCAAUUGCGGCUUCUAGUUUUUGAGGCUAUUGUUCUUAUUUGCCGCUGUUUUGGGAUGGUUUUUUUGAUCUUUUUGGUGGUCAGCCUUGGCCGUGUGGGUUUUUGGUUCCGUGUUGAGGUUGUUUGGGUGUAUAUCUUAUCAGUUUCCUCAUUAUUAUUAUAUAUAUAUUCUCCUUUCGAAAAAAAUAAUUUAUCCACACUCAAUCCACUCAAACUUUAAAAGUUGUAGAAAUUGAGAGAGAUAAAUGAAAAAUAUGAUAGCCGAAUAGAAAAGUAUGAGGUGUAAGUAAAUCAAAAUCCCAUAUGUUUGGUUUAAGUUGUUAGUAAAUACUUCAAUCUUCUCUUUUGUUAUUUCAACAUUUCACAUAUUUUUCGAAAACUAUUGAGAUCAUUUGAUGGUUAGGCUACUAGAAAUUUUGGAAUUUAACGUCAGUUGCUAAGUGCCGGCUACUAUUAUCCGCCAACUUAAGGGCAAUUUCCUAGCCCAUGUUAGUCAGUGGCAAAUUUUUUACUUGAUGGCGGUUACACUGGCAUUAAAUUUUUAGAAUUAAAAAAAAUAUAAACACCAUUUUUUUUACCAUUUUGUGAAAAGAUCUAUUCAUUAGCGCUUAAUCUGCUUGUGAAAGUUCAAUCAUGUUCUCUUGUGCCGAAAAAACCCUAACACUCAUGGAUGCAUGCUCCUCCUAGGGACCAGGUCCUCUCCCUCCUCGGCUAUGCCAACAACCAUGAUGACCUAGCUCGUCGUCAAAACCUCCUGAAACAAGUCAAAGACCUUAUUUUCUCCAUCGACCCCUUUCUCGCCACCAACCUCUACCCUUAUUUUCUCAAGCUCCAGUUUUCUUCAGAAACUCUCAUUCAUAAAUUGAUAAUCGACUUAAAUAUAUUUUUGGUCCCUAAAAAUAUAGUAAAUGUUGGCUUUCAUUAUUAUAAUAUAAGCAACGAAAUAAUCUUAAUUGAGUAGUAUUAAGUGAUAACGAAAAAUUUAUCUAUUUUUGAUAUAAAUAAACUCAAUAUUUUUCACUAUUUAUAAAUUAGUCUGCUUUUUAAUUAAAUUUAUUGGAGUAACUAAAUAGUUUUGACUUAGCAAUACCAACUAAUAUUUGAUAAAUAAUAAAAAAUAGUAUCUUAUUAAAUUAAUACUUUUACAUUUAAAAUUAAAAUUAUAUAAGAUAUUAACAUUGAAAUCAUUUUACGUUGGGAUGGGGGUGAAAUAGGAAUACAAAAUUGUUAUCCUAUCAUUCAUGUGGGGUUCUAACUCGCCUCCUCCUCAAGAUAAAUUAUACACAUGAUGGACAUGAUAGGAGAAGAGACAAAAUUUCACAUUAUCAUAUUCUGCUCGCACAACAAAUAGAAGAUUGCAGUAGAAUAUAAUUACUUGAUCAUAUCAUGUCUGCUUAUCUUCGUUGUCGAACAAUCAUUUAAUGAUUAAAUUAGCUUAUAAAAUUUAAUGAUUAAAUUAAAAGAAGUUAACAUAAGUACAUGACAAUUAUAAUCAUAGCUUUAAGGUCUCAACCCAUUGUUACAAUGACUUUAUCAUUCCUAAUGGUUUGAAAAUAUUUAAUCACUUGCCGGUAUUGAGGUUGAAUUACAGUAGUAAUGACCUUGAGGCCACCAAACCGAGUAGAAGGCUGUCAUCAAUGUUGUAAUAUUUAUAAAAUAUAAUUAAAAAUAAAAAUUAUACUAAUUCAAAUAUAACAUAUCAGAUGCCAUCCGGGAAUAUAACUAGUUUAUCCUCAUCACCAAAAACAUUCUUCUUCUAUGUGCAAUGAUGUUGAGGAUCUCCUAGGAUCCGUCUAUCUAACUCCUCACAAUCCCAACUUUUAUAUUCACUAUGAUCAUCAAUACAAUCAGGGAAGUCGUGUGGUGAUGGAGUUGAGUCAGGUGUAUGUGAUGAGGGCUUGAUUUGUUGAGGAGUCUCAGUACGUGCCCUCAGUGUCUCCGCAAAUGUGGUUUGUGGAACGAAACAGAGAGAAUAUAAUUGAAAACUAAUGGGAUGAGAGGAUGGUGUUGAUGGUUCAUGCACCAAUAACAACAUAGUGUUUCUCCUGCAAUAUGCUUCUUCGAAAAAGAAGAAGACAACUCAUAAUGCGCUUUAUCUUCCCUAGGUAGGGUUUUAGCCAUCUAAUGAAUCAUAUAAUUACAACGUUUAAUUUAUAGUUAUAAGUUGUAUCUAGAAAAAUUUAUCAUGUAUAUGUUGUCAUCACACAACUUACCCCUAAAAUUCCAAGGAAUCAUGCAAUUGGACAUUAAAUAACAUGCUAGUUCAUACAUUUAUAAUUAGAUAUAUAACUUUCAUAGGUGUUAUAAACAACAAAAAUUAAAGAAUUUUUCGGCACACAAAAAAUCCUUAAUGGCUAUAAAGGGAGUCAAAAAGAUGGAUUAGCCAAAGGAAAUAGCUAGUUGUUAGACCAAAUACAAUGGUUUGUUGAGAGGGAGGUUGAAUUUUGUUGAGGGUGUGUAGUGGUUGGUUGAGGUUUGUUGAAGAUGAGGUGGAGGAGAGAAGUGUUGAGAGUUCUCAACAUGUUGAGAGGGGCGCGUUUUGGUUCGUUGUCCGGAUUUUUAUCAUCUUAAUCUUUUGAACUCAAUUAUUUCAUUGCAAAAAUUUUUUUAUGGAAAUUUUUUUUAACCAAAAUUCAUGAUUUUUUUCCUCUAUAAAUAGAGACUUGGUUCGUUUGAUUUGAACACAGAAAAAAAAACCAAAAUUUUCACUAUUUUUAUUAUCUUUCUAUUAGCCUUUGUUUUGAAAUGGAUCCCAACAAUAAAAUAAAAUAAGUUAAGGAAAUAAAAUAAAUUAUUGUCUAUAUUUAAAAAAAAUUAAAUUGUUAAGUGUUUAUUGUUUUAAUUUAAUUUAAAUCGAUAAUUGUAAUUUUAUGUAAAUCAUAAAAACAAAAAUAUAAAAUUAAAUAAAAAUAUGAAAUAAAAAAGUGGUGGGGUAGGGUGUUGGUGUUGAAUGAAAAACCAUUGGAGUAGGUAAAAGUUGAAUGAGUGUUGAAUUGGAGAGAGAAGAUGAUGUGGAGUGUUGAGAAGAGAAAAAGUGGUGUUGAAAGUAAGUAAAUUAAACAAACCAUUGUAAACUAGACUACGACCCGCGCGUUGCGCAGGUGAAUACAACCGAGUCAAUAAGUAGUGAUUUUAUUGUAAAACUCUUUAUUAUAAUACUGAUCGUUGUUCAGAUAUUUAUAUUGGGUCCCUACAUUUCGUGCAUUAGUGGAGUAAAAAGUAUUAGGAUUACAUAUAAGCUACUCAUGGAAUUUCUUUUUCUAUUUUUUCUGUCUUGUUAUUCUUUUCUGCUUCCUCGUCGCGCUUCUGUUGCUACCUUUGGUUCUCUUAGAUGUGGUUGUCCUUAAGAUUUGAAUCAAAAUUUGUUCUUCAUAAGUGGAAGUAAUGUCAUCUGAUCCGUUGAUUUCUUCUUGAUCAAAUGAUGCACGUUGUCUUGGCUUUGCCGCUUCCUGCUUUUUUUCUUUUUAAACACCAACGGUUCUUCUUCUUCAUCUUCAUAUGAUGAUAUUUGUUAUGGUGAUUGGACUGGGCGAGCCCCUAGAGGGGCAACGCCCAGCAUGUAUCCCGCCCUGAGGCGGGGCCCUGGCCUUCAGAUGGGCCUUGAUCUCGGAGGCCCAAUUGGCCCAAUAGGUAGUACCCAAGCUCUAUAAAUAGGAGGUAGUUAUCAAUUGUAAGGGACUUUUGGCUCAUUUGAUGAAGUAACACAUAAAAUUCAGCAUUCUCUCUCUUACUCCCUCUCUCUAGCACAAUCUCUCUACCCUUAGGUACUAUACCUUUCCUCAAUGAUCAUUCCCAGAACAUUUGGCGCCGUCUGUGGGGACCGUAAACUCUCUACUCCCAUUCACGUGGAUUGAUUGUGCAUGAAGUUACCUCUGAUUGUGAUUAGGCAAUUCUCUGGUUUUCUGAUUUUGAUUCUGUGACUAGUGAUUGGUUUUCCGAUCGAGUUUGCAUCGUUUCUGGUUUGGAUGGAGACUCGACGCAGGAGGCAACAUCAUUCACCAAUGCGACAGCGGAUUUCGCCGCCUCAGCGGCCUCAUCGUGUGGUCCUGGAUUCUCCGGUACGAACGACAGGAGUGCAAUCGCCUUCUCCUCCUCCAUCACCUCCUGUACCACCACCUCCUCCAUCGCCUUCACAGGUGGGAUCUCUGGAGCGCUCACCAGAGAAUUCACCUGCUCCGGAACAACAACCGGCGGUGACGCAUGAGCAAUGGCGCCAUUUGAUGCGCAGCAUUGGCAACAUCCAGCAGCGGAAUGAGCAUCUACAGGCUCAGUUAGAUUUCUACCGCCGCGAGCAGCGAGGUGAUGGAAGCAGAGAAGCAGAUUCCGUGGCUGAGUUCCGUCCGUUCUCGGAAGAUGUCGAGAGUGUGGCGAUUCUGGAUAACAUGAAAACGUUAGUUCUGGAUUCUUACAGCGGAGAUUCCGAUCCGAAGGAUCAUCUUCUGUAUUUUAAUACGAAGAUGGUGAUAAUUGCGGCGUCAGAUGCGGUGAAGUGCAGGAUGUUUCCAUCGACGUUCAAAUCGACGGCGAUGGCGUGGUUCACAACUUUGCCGCGCGGAUCGAUUUCAAAUUUCAGAGACUUCUCAUCCAAGUUUCUAGUGCAAUUCUCGGCGAAUAAGAAUCAGCCGGUGACGAUCAACGACCUAUAUAGUAUUCGCCAGCAAGAAGGAGAAUCACUGAAAGAGUACAUGGCAAGGUACAGCGCAGCGUCGGUCAAGGUUGAGGACGAGGAGCCUCGAGCUUGUGCUUUAGCAUUUAAAAACGGUUUGCUACCGGGAGGGUUGAACAGCAAAUUGACACGUAAGCCGGCGCGUUCGAUGGAGGAGAUGCGUGCUCGCGCCAGCACUUAUAUUCUUGAUGAGGAGGACGACGCUUUCAAAAGAAAGCGCGCGAAGUUGGAAAAGGGCGACACGUCGCCCGAGCAGCGAUAAAAGGAGGAGUUUCAGAUCGGUGGCAAGACGGAGGGGAAAGAACAAGGUGCGUUCACGAGAGAAUGACAGAUCGAGAUUCUUCAAGGCGCAUCCAGCGAUGGCAGAUCGGAGCAACACGGUUCAGACCGACAAUGAAGAGCGUCAACAGAGGUGAAGCUUCAGAUCGAGGAAGCAUGUAGGCGAGGGAGAGCAGAUUGGUAAUGACGAAGGAAAGAACGAAGGCGAGGAAUCUGUCCAGAGCACAAUACAUGAAGAGCAGAGCCAAUCCCGAGACGUUUUUUUUAUGAGGCGUUGGAAUUCUGGCGAUCACAUUUGCUUUGGCGAGCACGCGUUGGCUUUGGCGAGCACGUUUUAAGGUUAGGCGGCGAGCAAGUGUUGUUGGCGAUGGAGUUCGGCGGCGGGAGAACGACGCUGGCGUUGGAAUCUGGCAAGCACGUUUUACUCCGGCGGCGGAAUUCUGGCGGGCACGUUUUGUUUUGGCCGUGGAAGUUUGGCGAGUAAAGCGUUGCUAUGGUUAAGAUCGCUGGCAACAAAUUUUCCAAUUCCUUCAAACUUUUCCUCCAUCUUUCAUUUGAUUCCCUUCUCAGUUGUUGUAUUUCCUAAUUUUCUUAUUUUGAAGUUGAUAUUAGAAGUUAUAUUGUCUUCACUGGUUUUGAUUCAGGCAGAGAGGAGCAAAUCGGAUCAAAGAGAAGGAGUGGGUGAAUUGAGGCACACCAUUAAAGUUUUAUGAAACUUGGAAGACUCUUCCAUAAGCGGUUUGUUAUUGGGUGGGACAAGCUCCUGAUGGCGCGAUUUAGUUACAAAGUGAAACAAGUUUCACGAUGAACUAAAUUAGCCCCGGAAAAGCCCACGUAACCACCGGAUUCAUUGGCGAUGUGUGGGGUACAAAUUGCCCAUUCUACUGAGCACCGCUUUGGUAAUCCAACUGGCCAUUGGAACCCAAAGCACUUUGAGUCCCGAAAUGGGACGAUCACACCAAGGGUGGCGACCUACCGCUAGGGUGGUGACCUCAUGCCAAAGGGUGGCGACCAAACGCUAUGGGUGGCGACCUGUAAGACUCAGUUUAGACACACAAAAGUCGCCAAAAGGGUGGCGACCUCACGCUAAGGGUGGCGACCUACCGCAAGAGGGUCGCGACCUACCGCAAGAGGAUGGCGACCUACCGCUAAAGGGUCGCGACCUACCGCCAAAAAUGAGGGUAGCGACCUACCGCCAAAAAUGAGGGUAGCGACCUACCGCAAAAUAGUGGCGAGCAAGUCAAACUAAUUUCUUAUAAGGCUAAAGCAAGAUGGUGAUGACGAUGCGGCGGCGACUAAAAAAUGUACGGCGGAAGCAUUCCAACAUGAUUUACAAAAUAUCCAACGGCGAUAUAAAAAGCUAUGGCGAAGGGUUGCUUAAACAUAGACGAAUGGCGGAAAAGUACACUACAAGGUGACAGUAAAAGCUAAAGUAAUGUUAAAAUUACAUUAUUCAUUGUUUUCUUUCUCCUGUUCUUCUUCUUCCUCUUCUUCUUCAGUCGCUGUCCAGAGGUUUUGGUCAAUCAGGGGAGGAUCGUCGGGACCAACCAGUCCUGCGGCGGUUAUCACUUUCAUUACUCCCAUGGCGCUAAAGUCAAAGUUCGGGUACAAAUGUUGGGCCUGAUCUUUGGUGAGGUAGAAACCGCGCUCGCGGUUGUCAAGGGCGAUGUCAGCGGCUUGUUCCCUCGCCUCAAUGGCUUUGGCCUUCUCCGUCGCCAGCUCGUCCUCUAGACUUUUGAUCUUUGCUAGUUGGGAAGCAAUCUCAGCAUCUUUCGUGGCGAGGGCCUUGGCGUGAGUUUCGGUCGCUUUCUUGAUCUCCUCGGACGUAGCCUGCAUCACCGCCUCCAUGUCAGAUUUCGCCAAGGCCAAGGACUCCGCAGACUUUUUCUCUUGCUCCGCCAACGCUUUUUUCACUAACUCCAGCUCAGCGCACAGUACGGCAAGCUCUGACUCCUUAGCAAUCAGCGCCUCGCCUCGGGCGAUCAAGUCCUUCUCAGCUUGCUCUUUUUCCUUCUUGCAAGCUUGAAGGCUUGCAUCAAGCUCAUCUGCUUCUUCCUUCAUCAGCGCCAGCUGAUCCUCCAGCUCGCCGAUUUUAAUCCCCGCCGUGCCAAUCAUCUUGUCGGCAUAGACUUUGUCUUUUCCUGCCUGCGUCGCUAGUUUGUCGAAACGCUUUUCCCAAGCAGCGGCGGCUUCUUGAUGCUUAGCACUUUCGGCCUUCAACCGCUCAGCUUCAACGUUGGCGGCAUUGAACUUCUCAAACGUGUGAGCAAAGAUGCACCCAGCGCGUAGGAGGCAAGCAAGAGUCUCCUCCUUGGUAUCAUUCAGGCCCCGACUCAAAACUUCUUUUUCUAUAACGUCACGGUUGAGACCAGCAAGAAAGAAUUCUGAGGGUUCAAUGGCGUUGGGGAGCAUAUUAUAAUAGCUUGAAGAACCGACCUCGGGAGCAGGGGCUUGUUCAAUUUGAGCUGCUUCAGAGGUAGUGGCAGCGCCAGGACAGGAUUUUUCCCCUUGAUGAGGCGGGGAAGGCAUGGAGCCUGCAUCAUGUGUUGAGGGCGGGCUAGGAGGCGCAUCUUGGCGAGGGGGAGACUUUGGGUUUUCAUUUUCUUUUUCCUUAUCUCCAAUAGGAGUGUCGGAAGACGCAGCAGCUUUUGUGGCGUUAACGCCGACGGAGGCGGCUGUGGCGCCAAUAGAGGACUCAGCGGCAACAGCAGCGGUCGCACCGGCGGAGGCAGGAGAAGAAGCUGGUACGGCGGUUGGCUCGGUAGCUGCGGCGACAGAGGCUUCAGCGACAUUUUUGCCUUUAGGCGCAGCAGCAGUGGUGGGCUGAGCGCCAGGGUUGGAUGUGCCGGCGUCGGAGGGGGCUUUGGUCAAUCUUCUCCUCUUGGGAGCUUUGGUGCUCUCGGCUUGGUUCUCAGCACCGCCCCGUUUUUUCGCGUCGCCCUCAGUGUUGAAUUUUGGGGAAAAGCGAGUCAUUCUCCUCUCGCGGGCCUUCAGGAGCUCGGCGUUCGUGAAAUUCAUAUCUUCUGUAACAAUAAAAAAAAACGAUCAGUGAUAACAUAGGAGUCGAGAAAGGAAAUGUCAAUAAUAAAAGUGAGCUAUGGGCAACCUAAGUAUUUGGGAGUUCUUGAGAGGUCAGCGCCCUCAAGGACUGUUGUGCAGUCAAGGAUGGGAAGUGGGGCAAGGAGAUUAAGAAAGGCUUUAUCGUUGGCGGACAAGGAAUCCUUUGAAGGAUCGGUGAUCCCGUUGGGCUUCUCUGUCCAGUAAAGAGGAAAGAGGGCGGUCCCGUCUCUGAGGGUGAAUGCCUCUGGGUAGGCGGGAUGAACCGCCACACGGAAGUACUUUCGUGCGAAGGAGGACUUCGCGUUACUUUUGUGGGGAUGCAAACACUUCCGGCCGGCUCGGGCCUUCAAGGAAAUCCAUCCUUUGUUUUUGAUGGACUUGGGGUCGACGUCGUAAAGGUAGAAGAAACUGGUGGGGGAUGGGGCGAUGCCGACGGCGGCGCUUAGGAUUUCAAAACAUCGAAUGAAGGCCCAGGCGUUAGGGUGGAGUUGACAGGGAGCCGCGUUGAUGUCGCGGAGGACGGUUUGGACAAAGGGCGAGAAAGGAAGCCUGAUUCCAAGCUCGCUAAACAUGUAUUCGUACGCAAAGAAAAAAUGGGAUCUCUUUACGUCGCCGCCUGGCUUGUGAAGCCAGGGGCGAUCCCCGGGACUGCAAACCCAGAUCCUGAGUUUGGCGUUAAACUCAUCGUCAUUGGACAAGCCACCCAGGGAGUUCACGAAUUGCACAAUGGGAUCGCUAUCUUGGAAGAUGGAAGGUUGAUCUAUGGCCUCGUGUUUGGGGGCUACUUGGACUGGAAGGGGCAGAGUGACGUAGGUUUUUAGUCGGUGAGCUGGGAUCUCCGGAACCUCUAAACGGAGGCCGCCGGCAGCGGUGGAGUCAGGGUCGCUUUCGGAGGAGGAAGAAGAGUGAUUAGGGGAGGUAGGGUUUGAAGCCAUUUUUAGAAGGCAGUGAAGUGAAAGAAAGGAAAAGAUCAGUAUGUGUGCGAUGUUAAGAUAAGGACAGUGGGACUCACCGGAGUAGGAUGUGAAGAGUGGGUAGCGGAAAGGGUGAUAAGCAACGGCUCCGGAGCGGAAGUGGGCAGAAGGAGUUUGGUAAGCGAUUAGGGAAGUGAAGAGGGGUCUCGGAAAGGGAUGACAGUGGGGAAGAAGGGUUUUUAUAGGAGAAGGGGAGAAGCUGGAAGGGUGACGCGUGUUGGACGCGUGUGGAAGGUUGGAAGUCAUGAUGGUUUUGGGGAGGUGGGUCGCGUGCAAAGGGGAGUUACUGCGCACGAUGGGACGGUUAUGAAAGGUGAAGUGACGGUUCCGGAGAAAGAGGGAAAUUGAUGUAACCAACACAUCACGUGGGGCAGCCACGUGAGGCAGAUAGAAAUUUGAAAGGGUUUUAAAGUAAGGGAAAGCGCGAAAAGCCUCGCCACUAUAAGGAUCAAACGCCAUCGCCUGACGAUUGACACCAACAACGAAGUUCAGUCGCUCGCCGGGGUCACCGCCAGUCAAUGAUUGAAUGAUCGGCACAUGACCCAUGCCUGCCACCUUUCCCGCCGGCGAGCGAUCAUACACCUGCUCCAACUUAUCACCAAUACAAAGUAGUCGUUCUCGCCGCUUGCGGACUUGUGGACUUGCCAGCUUGGUUUGCUCGUCAAGUCGGUGGACUGGGUAACUGAAAAUGCUAGUUUCCUUUUGCUCACGCCAUGUUGGCGAUAUAGUUAACUUCUCUUUUCUCAAGCCAUGUUGGCAGUGUGGAUUCCGGUGUACAAUAAGACAUGUAACAGCAUUUAAAAGACACCCUUAGCUCUCGUACCUCGAGCUCGGUGUCUUGUGGACUAGUGGACUGGGCGAGCCCCUAGAGGGGCAACGCCCAGCAUGUAUCCCGCCCUGAGGCGGGGCCCUGGCCUUCAGAUGGGCCUUGAUCUCGGAGGCCCAAUUGGCCCAAUAGGUAGUACCCAAGCUCUAUAAAUAGGAGGUAGUUAUCAAUUGUAAGGGACUUUUGGCUCAUUUGAUGAAGUAACACAUAAAAUUCAGCAUUCUCUCUCUUACUCCCUCUCUCUAGCACAAUCUCUCUACCCUUAGGUACUAUACCUUUCCUCAAUGAUCAUUCCCAGAACAGUGAUAUUGGGUCCUUUUAUGAUCAUAGGUAAUUUGCAAUUUCAAGUACCACAACAAACUCCAUUGGGAGAAAAAUUAAACAAAAAAUAAUCGAAGCACAAAACACAACAUUCAUGACCAACUACAAAUCAAAGUCAUGUUUAGAACUGUAAUAAAACACAAUCAACUAAUUUUAUUCAACUCUCACAAUAACUAAAUUCCAAAUGUUUAAAUGCAAAUGAGCCCAAUUUUUUUGACUUAGAAGAGUAAGAUCCAAUCUUUUUAAAAGAAUUCUAUAUUCUUUCCAGAUCCUCGAACCUCAAAUACUAUGUUAAAAAAUAAAAAUUGAAUCUAAUUACUGUUAUCUUAAGUCUGAACCACAACCUCUAAUUGUUUCAUCUGCUGUAAUAAUUAGGGAAUAUGAACAGAAAUCUUCUUAUAGAACAGAAUUUUCUUAUAGAAGGUUCUUUUUAAUCACAAAAAUAUGCUAAAAAUAUAAUACCAAGAUAUAAAGUGACAUUAAACUCACCAAGACAUUGAAGCAUCUCUACCAUAUGCGCAAUUUCAGUAUCCGGUUUCUUGGCAACCAUCUUUAUGCGUCUCUUUAACCUCUCUAUCUUGCUCCUUAAUCUACGAAAGCCAUAUUCAAAUUAGGGACAAAUGUAUCCAUGGACAAACACAGCAGAUUCACUGUUAUUCAUGGUAGUACAAAACAAACAAAGAGAAAGAUGCAAAUGUAGAUUGAAAGUGAAUUGAACUUGUAUGUCUAUGCUUAUUUAUACACAUUACAAUGUGAUAACUAUUUUGAAUUCUUUUCAUAACGUUCAAAUUUGAAUUCCAAGAAAUUUGCAUCCAUUUAAGUGAGUGUCAACUGAUUAUUCUUAGAUACAUAUAAGUGUGUUAACUCUGUUUGAAUUUGUUCUUGUAACGUUCAGAUUUGAAUCAUAAAUAUGUGACAGAUAGUAUACAGAUUUAGAGAUUAGUUUUAGGAAACCUGAUUUUAAAAACAAAGGUGCAUAGAAAAUUAGAAAAAUACCACUUGUUGAAACAACUGUGACGGUCCCAUAUAUAAUUUAGAAACAUCAUGCUGCCAUAUCUAGUGUUCACAUCUGCAGCCAUCAAAUCCUCCUCCAACUUAAACUUGUUGAUGCAAUCAAAGAAGCUGGAAAUGUCAAGGUAAUGAACCUUUUAGUAUAGGAUCAUUACAGUCUCAUAUAGUCAUAUCACUAAGACUCCUAAGUAAUAUGAAAUAAAAUCUUAUCAUACCAUAUAGUAUUUGUCGAAAUCAUUUCCUUGUUCUACUAAUUGUUAUGCUAAUUUCAACCUAAUUUCUAUAUGCUAACAUAUGGAAUCCAAUUAAUUGAGAAAUUAAAAAUAGAACAAAUCCAAAAAAAAAUACCAAAUGAAGUUUUGGAAUGAAAGAGUUUUUGCAGUGUUGAAUGGUACUUUUAACUGCUAUUGUGGGAACAGUGAGGUUUCUAAGGAUUAUGGGUUGUUCAUCACAUACCUGCUUAGAAUUGAGGAUACUUUGCAGUCCAUUGUGGAAGAGAUGAAGCUUGAGGCUGAGUUGCUGCAGAGGUUCAAUCCUGGUGUGGAUUUCAGCCAAGUAAGUGGCUUGGUUUUGAUUCAAAUUCUAUUGAAUUGCUGGUCAGAUGUCACGGCUGCGUGGUUUCUGGUGUGUUGAGAUCCAAGAGGGUUUGCGGAAGGAGGAUGUGAGGAAGCAAUAGUCGAUGAUAGAGGAAGAGGAAUCACAAUCACAGAGUAAUUUUGUGUAACCGAAAUUGAAGGCGCAAGUCCGGUGAACUCGUCGUGGGCAAAGGAAAAGGGGGUAGCCAUGGUUGGUUCUUGAAUCCUGCGUGACGGGAGGGGAACCGAACGAAGAAGGGGCUGUGUCGCCAUCGUUGUAGUUGCAAGCUAAUGUAGAAGGGUCUGCCAAUGCGUGUGUCUAUUGCUGAAUCCUGUGUGAUGUCUAGUUCUAUUAUGUGUGUGGGAUCGAUCGGUCUCUAGCUCUAUUUUCGAUACUUUAGAAACUACAACGUGACACAUCAUUAAAAUGGCUGAUGUGGACACUUUUAUUAGAAGUAUAAACGUUGAGGUGGCGACAUUAGAUUGCGCGCUUCUCAAUUCCUAUAUUAUAAAUAGAUGGUUGGAUAUGAGUAGGUUAGCCGAAAAGGAAGAAAUUAUGCAUCUAAAUGACAUUUAUGGAUAAUUAAAGCAACUUAGGUUUGGUGAUCGAGAUAUUUUCAAGAUUAUUCUCAGAAUCAAUGUUUUGUCAUGUGAAAUAUUAGAUAUGGAUCAUUUCCUUUAUAAUCGGAAUGGUUAUGUCUUAGGAGCCAGUCGAUACAUGGAAGAUCAGUCUUCCAAGCUGACUAGGGGGAUAAGGAACCGCACCCCACAAUUUUUGUAGUGGUUUGCUGGAAUUUAGGAUGUGGGUUGCGGUUACAUGCCUAGGUAAUUGUUAUAGUCAACCAAACACUGUAAAAUUUGGGAGAGAGUUAUUUGUACAAAACACACAAUCAAAUCAUCAACCAAACAUAUAAAUUUCCCGUAUUUUUAUGUUUAUUUUCUUUAGUUAUUUACUUAUUGAAGCCUUUAUUUAUUUCUUUUUCAGCAUUUACUUUAAGUCUUUAUUCAUUUAUUUCGCCAUUUUCAGCUAUUUAUUAGUUUUUUUCUCCAUAACCUUAGUUGCAUGCAAUUACCUCGUCUUCAACCUCUCAAUAGCAAUCUCUAAGUACUUUUUUGGAGUGUCAUAGUGUCCUUCAUUGAGGAAUAGAGUUCUUUCCUCGAGUAAUCACUUGUUUAAGGGAUCAUUGCGUUGGUUUCUCAGUCAACUCAAACGACAACCCCAAGACCAAAAUUCAUUUGAAUAAACAAAUUAAAAUGCCCAGUGGGACGCAUCUUGCUAUUGAGAAGUUUCUAUCUCCAAACCAUGAUCCAUGUUGGCGCAUGAAACUGAGGUUUGGAAGAAAAAUGGUUUCUACAAACAUUUGCAGAACAAGUGAACGGGGCGGUCAAACAAGAGGUGGAGGAGAAAGGAUGAACGAUCUGGUGGAGUUGGGGGAAGGGCAGAUAUUCCGGUGGAUGGGGAGCAUAUGGUGGUGGAUGGGAGACUGAUCUGGUGGUGGAGGGAGGGCAAAUCUAGAGUUAGCGGAGGGGGCGGAUAUGAUUGAUAAGCAUAUAAUUGAUGCACUUUAUGUGUGUCUUUCUAAGCUUCAUUAUAUCUUUGUGCUUAAUUCUUAUGUCUUAGUCAUGUUUUGACCAUUAGUGCUUAUUUGGAUUAUUCAUAGAAAUAUGCUUAAUUCUACACUUUUAGUUUCUGUGAUUGUUUUGCUAGAACAGGUUGAAUCCGGAGUUAGAGUGAUCCGAAUGGGGAGUGUAAUAUGUCGUUGGAAAUCUAACUGGAAGCCCUACAAUUUUCAUGUUCAUCUCAAUUCACGAAUCAGCCUCUAAAUUGGUCCUAAUUUCCUUGUAAAGUUGUUGUCGCUAAUCCUGCGAGUCUGGAACAGUCUGCACUAAAAUGAUCAUAUUUUGGGCUACAGAACUCCGAAUUAAGAUCCAAUUGAAGGCCCGUGAAGCUGACUUAAAGGGCUACAAACUAUCAUGUUUACCUUAAUUGAAUAUUCUGCCUUCUUGUGGGACCCGCGGACACCUGAGUCUUCAGCAGCUCACUCCUCUCUUGGGCCCGAUUUUGUGAAGAUUUAGAGAAGAUUUAGGAAAGAUUUAGAUAAAAAAUAUUGUUACUUGAUGGACGAGUUUAUCUAUUAGUAUAAAUAGGCUAGUUGAGGCUCUUGUUACCUGAACCUCUUCUCUCCCUCUUUUCAAAUAUGAGUUGCUAAACUCCUUAGUUCGUCUUAGGAUUUUUAAUAUUCUUGUGUUUGCAAACUUGAGGUUCCGUUCUUAAUAUAUUUCAUCUUUUUAUUCAAGCUGGUUUAUGUUCUUUAAUUCUAGCUUUCAAUAUUAUUUUGGAUUCAAGUAAUAUUGUGUUUUAAUUGUUAUUAUCCAAGCAAGUUGAGUCAGUUAGAGGAUUCUUUAACUGAUGAUGAGAUGAUGAAGCGAUCGUGAAUUCGUUCUCUAAGAACGUAGAUCUCUAACGCUGAUCGGUUGUUAGGUUUGAGGAUUCCGUGGGCAGAGAUAGUUCUUGUACUUUGAAGCGGCGAUCGCCAAGCUUCUUAACUUGAACGAAUCAUAUUCUAAACGAUUGUUCAGUGGAGAAUCAGGGUUCCAUCUCACGAUUGUAAGGUUGGACUCAACUCAGAGGCUUGUUGAAAGGUUGAAUUAAUCUUUUAUGAUCAAUGAAGGUUUGUUGCACUUGAAUGUUAUAAUCAGAGGGCCAACGUUUUCUUUUAUCUGAUAAUUCAAUCUUUUAUUUUUCUACUUGAUAAUCAACCAAACCCCCUUUUUAUUUGCUUUAGUUUUACUCUAAUAUCAAUUAAUACUUCAUCAAGUCCUCGUGAGAUCGAUCCUGGUGUACAACAACUUGUACUGCAUUCAAAGCAGAAUACUUUGACACGCACCCGCGACAAUGCGUUCGUCAAUGAUGUUGGAGGACCGACCAAGGGAAAAGUGGCAACAAACUUAGUGAAAGAGAGGGAUGGUGCUAGUAAGAGUGUGGUUAUGGUGAGGGCGGUGGAGGAGGGUGAUGGGCGAAAGGUGGCAGCGGAGGUUAAUGAGGAGGAACGAAAAAUAGAGAAAAUGGCGAUGGACAAGGCGGAUGGCGACAUACCAGGGAGAGGGGCGGAGGAAGAAAAGAGAAAAAUAGGGUUUGGAUAAAAUGUGGUAGAGAGAAACAUAUUUAGAAAUUUUAUAUAAUGCAAAGAGACUAAAUUAGAACUACAUUAUUAUAAGUACUAGUGGCUUUCACAUGCGGUUCUUGUAAACAAGUGAAACAUAAUAGGUAAAAAUAAAAAUUGCAUCCUUGUAAGUCACACUAACUUUCACAUACGAUUCUUGGCAACAAGACAGAGGUGAUUCUUCUUGUGUCGGGCAAGUCCUUGUAGCCCUUCAUCAUCAAUAUCUUCCCUUGUCAUCCCAGGAGGCGUUUCCCAAUCAAAUGAAUUUAGUAGAUUUGCAACUAUGAGCUCCAAUGUGGCGAUUCCUUGUGGCAUGCCAGGGCAAACUCUAUGUCCGGCUCCGAAUGGAAUCAACUCAAAAUCUCGUCCCUUAAACUCUAUGUCCUUGUUUAAGAAUCUGUCGGGACAGAACUCAUGUGGGUUUUCCCAUGCCUCAGGGUCCCUAUGGAUGGCCCAAACGUUUACAUACACUAUUGUCUUGGCCGGUACUUCAUACCCAUCUACAAUGAUACUUUUAAUUGUUUCUCUUGGUAUAAGCGGUGCCGGCGGAUAAAACCUGAGUGUCUCUUUUAUAACUGCCUUCAAAUAGUCGAGUUUUUGAAUAUCCACUUCAUCGAUGAAGUCUUUGUUGCCACAAAGAUUUCUUACUUCUUCUUGGGCUUUCUUCAUUGCUGUUGGGUUCUUCAUUAAUCCAGUCAUAAGCCAAACUGAUGCGGCUACACUCGUGUCAGUUGAUCCUAUAAGGAGGUCCUGUGAUGAUGAAAAAUAAGUAUUGAGUAGGUUCACUAGGCCAAAUAAAUGUAAGAAAUGAAUUAAUAAUGGAAAUUAAUUAAAUGAUACCUACCAUCAUGAAAGCUUUAAUGUGAUCAUCGGUGAGAUCAAUUGAGAGGGAACCCUGGUUCCUAAGCUGGAGUAGUGUUUCAACUAUAUCAUCCUCUUGGGUUUGAUCUUUGUUCCUAUUAGGAUCGAGGUGCUCGUCAAGGACUUGUUGGAAAAAGGCAUCGAAUGAGUUGAUAGUUUUAUCAAGACGAGCGAGUGAGCCUGUUAGUUUGUCGAUCCAGCCCAUGAAAGGAAUAUAAUCUGAAAAGAAGAAGGUUAGAAACAUGGCCUGUCCCUGAACAAGAAGGUUAUGGAAGAUGCUUGUUUCAGCUCCAUCCUCAUCAUAGAUUCUACCAAAAGCAAUCCUGGAAAUUGUACAGCUUGCGACAGACAUUAUGAUCUCACUCAAGUUUGUGACUUUGGAAGAAGAAACAUGGGUAGAUAUCUUUUGAAUCAUUUUCUUGACCUCAGAUUUUCUUACAUGGGCAAAGCUAGAGACCUUUUUGGCGCUGAAGAAAUGGAUGGCAGCAAUUUUUCUGAUUUCUCUCCAGUAAUCAUUGUAUGGGGAGAAAUUCAUGUCCAUGGCAUUUUAAGAAAUUCUUUUCUGGCUAAGUGUGGGAGCUCUGGUGCAAACAGAAAGAUCAUGGUCAUUGAGGAUCUUUUGGGCCAUUUUAGGUGUGGAAAUAAUGAUGGCUUUCUUGAUGCCGAAUCGAAGGGAAAAAAUUGGACCUUAGAUCUUUGAGAAGUUCCAGAGUUGAAAAUGGAAAUUCAAACUGUCAAGUUGAUGAAGGUUACCAAUGAUAGGAAGGCCUCUUGGACCUGGUGGAAGUGGAAGUUUCUUGUUGUUGGAUUUCUUCUUCAACAGGACAAUGAAGAAUAGCAACAGGGGAGGAAGAGCUAGUACCAAGUACUGAACAAAUGAGAAUGAGAGUAUCAUUUUGCAGACACAAGACAGAUCAAGCUGGGAAUUAUGAAGAUUUUAUCUGAUUUUGAUUUUUCUCUGUGUAAGAAACUAAGAAGGGAUAGAUCAAAUGUCUUAUGUUUUUGUUCCUGUUCUCUAAUCCAAUUUAUAUGCAUACAUACCUCUGCUUUGGAUAUCAUAUUUUGCAGUCAAAUGCAAAAUAUAUCACGUUUAGAAUGCAAAGUCAAAUUGUGUAAGAGAUUUGAAGACAUGAGACACAGAGUAAGAAAGGACCAAGCAGUAUCGCACAAACAAACAAACAAAUUUAUAUAUUUAUAUAUAUAUUACUAUAAUAACUAAAUAUGUCACGUUUAAGGAUCAAUGCUUGCAUAUUAAAUUUGAUGUAUUUUUUGUGGACCAUUUUUUGUUGGAUACAGUGUGCUGUACUUCAGUUUAAUAUACUUUGAUGAUAUCAUGACAAGGUGACUUUUAUAUUCUAACCAUCUUAAUAAUUGCGUGGCUCGGGCAUAAAGAAAAUCAAAGAUUGUUAACGACUACAAUUUUCAAAGUAUGGGCACAAUUAUUUGUCUGGGAGUAGCUGGCUCUUUAAUUUAUACCCAUGUUAAAAAAAUUACCUCUCAUUUGUAAAUAAAUAAUUGAUAAACAGGUAUAUAUAUGUUGUAAUAAUAAUUUAUCCACACUCAAUUCAUCUUAAAUAGAGAUAAAAAUAGAAGAGGUACAUAAAAUAUAUGAUUGAUGAAUAGAAAAGUAUAGUUGUGAAUAAGUCAAAACCUGAUAUGUUCAGUUUAAAUGGUAGGUAUGAGGUUAAUUUUAUUCUAGUAUUCCCCACAUUAAUAGCAAAGCUAAGUUAUCUUGAAGUUUAAGUGUUCAAGGGACUAACAAACUAAACUCUAUUUCUAUUCCUAGCAAUAAGAUUUAUUAGAUGAUUUAUAUAAGUCGGACCCUAGACGUUUUAGCUUCCGCUCUUACGCCAAACCAAGCAAUAUAUUCUAGGUGCACAGCUAAAACAAACAUUAAAAACAAGAGGAAACCAUUAAUCAUGAGAUAGAAACGAUAUUUCAUAUAGAAAUUAAAGAGAAUACUACAUAGUCAAAAAUUACAUCCAAUCCCAACAAGAAAACAUUUAGCUAUCCAUAAACAUGGAUGCUAUCAAGCUUGGAAGAGAACCAAGAAGAUGACCUUGUCGUGUCUUCAGUGUGUUUUCCAACUCGAUGGUAUACCCCAAAACUCAAACUUCACGUAUCUCUCUAUUUCUCUCAAAUCAUUUAAAAAACACUUUUAUACCAGAUCUGAGCACCCAGCUGGCCCCUGAUUUCCGCCCAACACCUCCAUUUCCUUCACAAGGUUUAAUGAACCAUCUUGGCUGCCAAAUGACGUUUAAUUUCCGCCCAUGUGGAGUGACUUUCAAGCUUGAAUUUUCUUGAUUUUUUAAAGUAACACUUUGCUUUAUUGUUGCAAGGCGAUCCCGCCGCGCGAAAUAUUUACAAAGUGAUACCUUGCAUUAUUGCUCAAAGGCAGAGCCCCCUACAGCAACAUCAUAUGACUUCCAUAACCAGUAUAAUCAGAAUGUUCAUGUACUUAUGCAAUGGCAAGAGACUACCAUCAACAUUGGAUGUAUUAACAUCAACAUGGAUGUUCAAAAAGGGCAGAGGAUAGCUAUUAAAACAAUUGCAUGGAGACUAUGUGCAUCUAAUUUAUAAGCGUACAUACGAAUAUGAUUCACGUCAACUUCAGCAAAUAACUUCAAAAUCUAUUGCUGAACAAAUCCAAAACUGAUUUUUAAACAGGUAAAUACUAGUCAAAACCUUUCAUAGCCAUGUGAUGUAACUACCAUAAGUCCAUAAGUAGGGACUCAACUCAAGUAGUUGAUUCAUGAUCCUAUAAAAGCAAUUCUAAGACUAUAAUAUGGAAGCAUAUCUACUUUGGAAUAUCAAUUAAUGAAGUAGUAUGUUGAAAGGAAUAUCAACUAAUUCCAAUUAAAGUCUCCGAAUGAUAGCUUAAAUGGUAAGAGCUUGGGACAUAAGGGUUGGGAGGGGAAGGUUCAAGGUUCGAUCUUGGAAGGGUAAUUUGAAGGGAUUUUCUAACUUACUAACAAUUAACCACUAACAUUUGUUUAUCAAGAAAAAAAACUAAUUCCAGUUAGAAGAAAAAUAAGAAGGCAACUUGGACUCUCCUAAAUCUUCCUCUCACUCUCUUAUUUAUAGGCUAACCCUUAACUAACUAAAUUUUUUUUGUGGUCGAAGAUGGGUAUUUUGCAUUCCAAAGGGCAAAUAACUUCAAGUACCUAUCAAUACUCCCCCCUAAACAUCUACCAUGUCCUCAAGGAUGGUUAAAGAAAAGCAAAAGCUCCUUGCAACAAAAAUAUGGAGAAGAAAACAGAGCAGGAAAUCACAAAAAAAACCUAAGAAAAAAAUUCCACCAGUUGGGCCAGGCCCAUUAUAGCAAGUGAGGAGCUGGUCUGAAAUGAUUUUUUUUUGUCAAAAGCUGGUCUGAAAUGUUGAAAGACAAAAGUGCAUUCAAAAUUGGACUAAUGUUGCACUCUCAGGCCCAAAACUAGCAUUCCUUGGCCAGGUUUUUUCCCACCUCCUGCAAGCCCAACUCUUUCCAUGAGUGUAUUGGGCAUGCUAGGGCCCGUUUUUUCAAGUUUUUUAAAAAUACAUUUAAUGCUGUACUAUUUUUAAAUUUUUUUCCUAAAAGAUUGCUAUUUUGAAAAUUUUAAAAAUAUUAAGACAAUUUCGGUUUUUAAAAACUUGUUAUAUGUACAUUAUUUAAAACAUAGAUUUUUUUUGUUUCUUUGUAAGAAAAAAAUACAAACGAGCAUUAUUUGAUUCGAUACUAAUAAAAACUUGGCUUUCUUUCAAAUGGUAAAAAUACUAUUUGCCCAUCCUCAAUCUACAAAUGGGAAAAUUAAAUUUGUAUGGCAGAUAUUUACUAAUUUGGAUAUUAUUUUUUAUCACACACCUUGUUUGGGAGUGUGAUGCAACGAGAGAAAAUAAAAGAUGUAGGAAGGGAAAUAGAUGGAAAAAAUGCAAUGUUAGAAAAUAUAGAUUGAUUAAUUCACCUUUGUCUUUAGACUUUAAACAACAUAUAUUUCUUAAUUUCAUUGUACACACAAACUACAUGUAUUUCAAAAGAGAUUUUUGCUAUAAUACUUGUUAACAAGAACUGUCAAGUCGCCAUUUUUACUUUGUUUAUGAUGAAGGUAAUCAGCUAAGUGUGGAGUUUUCACUAGCAUAAACGUUUGUUCUUAUUUUUAUAAGGUGGUGGUGGUGAGGGUCACCAAGAAGAAGAAGAGUAUUGUGGUGGUAGAGGUGGUGGUUGUCGCUCUGGUCUGUUUUGUUGAAGAAGGAAACAUAUAUUAGGUGAUUUUUUCUUUCUACGGUAUGUGCGUGCGUGCGAAUAAAAUUAAACUGGUGUAUGUUCCAUUAAUUAAACUAGUGUAUGUUCCUAAACACUCAAAAUUUGUUUAGGAAUUUCAUCAGAACCUUCCAACAUUUUGACCACAACACUCAUUAUAGGCCUUGAUUCUGGCCUGUACUGAACACACAACAAAGCUACCUUAACCAUUCUUUAUGCUAUCUCCUUAUUUUCUUCAUCUACCCCACAGAUUGUCAUUAACUCCCCAAGUUCUUCAACAUCAAACAUCUUCCAAACCAAGAUUGGAAACCACUCUUGGCUCUCAAGAAGUUCAAUGUCAUGAUUUCUUCUCCUACCUACCUAUGAUUUCAAAUAACAGCAUGCCAAAGCUGUAAACAUCACACUUAUGAGUUACAUGAAAUGGCAUCCAAAGCUCAGGAGCGGCAUAACCAGGAGUCCCCCUUCCUCCAGUCAUGGUUAUGUGAGUAUUUUCCCUGUUGCACAACUUAGCCAAACCAAAAUCAGCAACUUUGGGAUUGAAGUUCCUGUCCAAGAGAAUGUUUCCUGGUUUUAUGUCAUAGUAAAUUAUCCUCUGUUGGCACUCGUCAUGCAAGUAUGCAAUGCCAAAUCAAGAAGUUCAAUGUCAUGGUUUUUUCUCCUACCUACCUAUGAUUUCAAAUAAUAGCAUGCCAAAGCUGUAAACAUCACACUUAUGAGUUACAUGAAAUUCCUCUAGCUGUCCCAACUGCAAUCUCAUGAAGCUUUUCAUAUCCUAAGCUCUUGUUCUCCUGAAACAGAAACCUGUCAAGGGAGCCAUUCACCAUGUACUCAUAAACCAGUGCUAUUGUAACGCCCCGAAUUUCAAGGGUUACGGUAAUAAUCUGAUAAAAUAAAUAUGCAAUGUUUUCCAAAAGGAUAUAUAAAUACGAGUAUAUUUUUUUCUUUUCGAAGUAUUUCCAAAACAUGUCAUGCAUACUCCCAACUGUAAAUAAAUUUACAUUAAACCUUGAACAAGGCGAGUAUCUGCAACCCCAAAUAUAAAUUUCUAAACUCAUUAUGCAUGCUUAGACCAAUAACGGUAAGCUCUCUAACCCAAGGCUCUAGCCCUACACCCGACUCUAUUCUUCGAGUCAUCCACAGUUCUUCAAGUUCUUCUCUCCGACUCGUACGAAGGUCAAGCUCCAUCGAAGAUUCUCCAUCGCCUAAUAGCGUUAAGCGCCCACACAACAAAUAACAAACAGAAAGGGUUAACUCCAUACAACUACCACGUAUAAAAGAGAAAAAUAUGCUAUUCAAAUUUGAUUACUUAGCAUGGUAAAUAAACUAGCAACUUAACUCAAAUUAGAUGACAACUCAUCCUAUCAAUCAUGAAAUCGAAUCAUAUAUUUAACAGAAUCAAACGAUAUGGUUUUAAAACGGAUAUCAACAACUUAACAACAUAAAUUAACUCAGGAAUCAAUAACUUAACAGCAUAGAUUAAUUCAGAUAACAAUAACUUCAACAGUACAGAUGUAGAUCAAAUUCCAACAAAACCAACAAUACAAAUCAACUCAUAUAUCAACAAAACCCACAAUAUAAAUCAAAUCAGAUAUCGUCAAGCCAACAAUUUAAACCAACCUAGAUAUCAAUAGAACCAACAAUAUAAUCAACUCGGAUAUCAAUAACCUCAACAAUAUCAAUCAAACAAUAGCGUGUCGCAAGACGGGACAAUCACGUGAGACAAACCCACCUCAUCGCCACUUUAGCGUCUCAAAGGACGGACAAUCACGCGGGACAAACCCACCUCAUCGCCACUUUAUAACGUCUCAAAAGACGGGACAAUCCCGUGGGACAAACCCACCUCAUCGCCACUUUAACGUCUCAAAAGACGGGACAAUCGCAUGGGACAAAUCCACCUCAUUGCCACUUUAUAACGCCUCGACAGACGGGACAAUCUCGUGGGACAAACCCACCUCAUCGCCACUUUAACGUCUCAAAAGACGGGACAAUCGCGUGGGACAAAUCCACCUCAUUGCCACUUUAUAACGCCUCGACAGACGGGACAAUCCCGUGGGACAAACCCACCUCAUCGCCACUUCAAGCAAACCAAAACAUCUCAUCCAACUCAGUGGUCACUCAAACAACAAUCUCAAAUUCAAUAAUCAAAUCAUCAUAAUCACAUGUUAUUCAUAUUAUCAACAAACAUACGUCUCAUCAAAAUGCAUACUAACUCGGCUCACUAUUUCAACAUAACAACAUUCAAGGUAUCAACAAUAACCAUGUCUUAUCCACUAGAAAGCAGUAAUGACAGAAACCAGUAAACGACCGAAACCUCUCAGAAAACGGAGACACACGUCUCAAUAAGUUCACUCGGACGAAGCCUACAGAAAACAUUUGGCACAAGCCUCAGAAAACAUUCAACAUAAGCAAGCAUACAACAUUGCAAAACAUGCAAAUAUUUCAAUCAAUUGUCAAUCAAAUUAAACACCUUCAUCUCAAACGCAUGCAGUGCGAUAAAAGCAUGCAAGACUCAAAGACGCGUUAAAACUGAGUUACCAUUACCUUAGCCAAUUUCUCCAUCCAAGCUCAACAUCCCAGUCCAAUCCAAAAUAAAGCUCCCGAACUCAGCAAGUUCCUCGGGCGUCCUCCUCAGUUGUGAAACCUCACCAAUUGCUCCAAAGUCUCUUUCCUCAGCUCAACUCGUUCCAAACCUUAAGCAAAGUAUCAUUGCUUAGUCGCUAAGAAACAAUACAACUAAUAACACUAUCAAAAUCCGAAAAGAAGCUUUCGAAGCUCUAGAGUUCGACAUUUAGGCACGAACGGACAACGGAGACUUUGUUCGCUAAAACGCGCAUAACUCGAGCUACAGAACUCGGAAUGACACGAAACCAAAGCCAAAUUUUAGACAAUUGAAAGAGCUACGCUAUAGCUUAGGCCAUACUGACCCAAAAAUUAUUUUUGGACAAGGCACCAUAACACUAAGUUUCGGCCACUUGAGAAAAUAGGGUUUCCGAACUUUUUCUUCGAUCUAAUUUAAUUCCUAGGUAUUCUUAGGCGAUAUCUAGGCCAGGGAAACUCUCAGAAAAAUUAUCGGGUCGAAAACUAGAACAGAGGUAUUUUGGUAAGUGUUUUUAGCUCGGAAAUUCAAAAUUGGAAUUUCGAAAAAUAAAUUUGAUAAGCUUGAUCCUAAUGACAUUUAUAACAACUAAUCCUACUGGCGCUAAGCUCAGUCGAGAGUUUUCGAACCAAAAAGCAAGACUUUCUCAUAAAAAUUGGUAUUUCUAAAGAAUUUGAUCUCUGCGGAGAUUCGGCGAGAUUCAGCGGAAAAUAACUGGGUAUUCAUGUUCUUGGGCAUGCAGGGAAUAAGUUUAGACAAAAAAAUCAAGUUAUUUAUACACUUUUACAAAAAGCUCAAAACUUUGAGCACAGAAAGACAUAGAGAAAAGCGACAGAAUUUACGAUCAGAGGUAAGGAAUAGCAUCAGUACCUCGAGGCCUACGUAUAGCAACUGACUGUUCGACGAUCGGGCAAGAAACGGAAAAAUUCUCUUCUUCCCCUUCCUCCUUGGAGCUCGCGGCCUCUUAUGGGAAGAAAUGAUAAAUUUCUCAUUUUUUCCCUUUUUAUAGGUGAGGCGAAAAUCCGAAAAAUCGAUAUUUCGCGGUUCAGGUCGUUUUGGUACUUUUGUCUGCUGAUAAAAAUUGAGUAUUCGGCGACAGAAUGUCGAAACUCAAAUCAAGGUUCAUUUAAUCGAGGAAAACGUCUCAAAGACGGUGUGGGUCGAUUUAUGCCGAAAAACUACUUUUUGCAGUCGACGUCGGAUGAAGAAACUUCCUUCAGCAAAAAGAUCACAAACGUCGAAAUGAAUGAGGCUUCGCGGAUGGAAACUUCGUUAGAAGCUCCGAAUAGAAAAACUCUUCAUUCAAGGUCUUAGUUAAAGUUCCCGAGAAGUUAAAAUCUAGCUUCGGCGGACUUCCGGGAAGCGAAACCUAACAAGCGUACAGUCCAGGGUGGGUUUCGUAUUGAAACAUUGGUCAUGGGAAAAAUACCUAGAGGUUCUUAUUCUUCCUUCAAUUCUAUAAUUCUCUUAAACAGUGCUCUAGGAGCGGAUAUAGCCUUUUUCGGACACUCUCGACCAUAGUCGGGUGCGAAUAUGGCUCGUGCUAUUACUUAAGCUGACUACAGUGUCAACCUUAAACAUAAUCUGAACUUAAUUAUUAUAUAAUUAGUUUUCGUGACUCGUAAUAGGAUUCGAGUCAUGAAAAUAACAUAAAACAAUAAAAUAUAAUUACUUAAUUAAUCAACACGACGAAAGUAAAUAAAUAAUCUAAUUAUUUAAUUCGGGGUCUUACAGCUAUCAAGCUUUUUUCAAAGCAAAAGUUGUAUAGCCCGACAAGGUUUAAAUGAUGAGUUCUACCAAUUGUACUCACUUCUGCCAUGAAUUGCUGCUCCGUCACACUUAAGUUAUGGAUUCGUCUGAGAUAUGUGCUAGGAUUAUUGGUUCACACAAUUCUGUAGUAGUAAUGGUUACUUUAUACAUUGGAAUUUGAACAUAAAUUACACAACUCUGCACCUUCUUCUACUUUGAAUUUUUAUCUACCAUGUCAAAUGGAAUGAGAAUAGGCUUCAGUUAUGUACUCUUAGUGGGGAUGAUAUAUUUUACAAUUUGGGUGAGCCACAAAUUAAGCCAAAAUGGUCAACCACCAGCGUUAAGCCCCGAAGGAUGGUUAGAGUGGAGUAGUUCAUUGUAUUUGGACACAUUGUACUACACUGAGUACAAUAACUAUGGACCAGGAGCUAGGCUAGAUAAAAAGGUUAAAUGGUCACGCUUCCAUGUGAUUAGUGAUUCUAAGUAGGCUAGCAAAUUCGCAGUAUCUGAACUCAUUAAGGGGGAACAAUGGUUACUUUCAACCGGAGUACCCUUCGUUCCUGGAUUAGGGGACUAAAUAAAUGUGACUUCGGCAAUAUGAUGACAUAAAUAAUAAAGUAUUGUUUUAGUAAAAUCAUGUAUCUAUUAAUACUGCACUAUAUGUGUCUAGAAAGAAUUUCCAACACAAAUGAACACUAUCACAUCUCAUACUGGAAAAAGGUCAUGCCUAGCAUUUUCUUUCUCCUUCAAACUAGGCAACAUAUCAGCAGAUUUUGACAUUCUACCAUUUGUGCGUUCGUGCAGUGUGCAUGCGGCGUGAGACAUAUGUAUGCUUGUAUGUGCUUGUUCUCUUUAUAUUGUUUGUUGUAUGCAGGGAUACGGUACAAGGAACAUAAGUUUCUGAUUAGAGGAUGUGGCUGAGUGUUAUAGUUUUUGAUACAAAUACAUGCAUGGAGGGACCGGAAGACACUAGAAGUGACAGAGUGAAAGGGUAUAUUUUCCCCUAUAAUAGACCAAUUGAGCUUGUUGGUUUAGGAGCUCCUCACCCACGUGCGUUCUGUUUCAGUUCUAGAUCACUCCAGUAGCAAGGGUCAUAGCCAACUUCCUUUAUGGGUGGAGCUAGGGGACCUACUAGAAAAUCUGGAGCUUGCACAAGUUGUAUUUGUUGCUGGUGGAAGUGAAAAUUUUAGUACAACCAUGGAUAUAGUGCAUACAACUCCUAACUAUAGCAAGAAACGCUUUGAGAUGUACAUAAAGAAGGAUACACUCAGAUCGUUGAGAUUGGAAAGAAUCAGUGGAACUAAAGUUGAUUGGAGAUAAUAUGGGUCUCAACGUUAGUACUAUCAUUUGCGUGUGCUCUUUAUUCUAACAUCCUUUUCAUAUUUAAAUUUUAUAACAAAAAUAAAAUAUUAAAAUAAUUUAUAUAUAGAAUAUCAAUUAAAAAUCCUACAUCUCAAAAGGUUAUAACUUUGAAUUUAAUUGAUAUUGUUUCAUGAAUGUAGCUGCUGACUCCACAUAAUGGAAAUCACAUCAAAUUGACAUCAUAUUAAGUCUUUAAAAGUCAUCAUAUAUCGAAAUUAAAUUAUCAUCACAAUAACACCUCUUUCUUUUGGCUUCUUCGUGUUUAAGUUCAUAAAACACAUAAACAAUAAUUAUGUCGUCACUAUAUAUAAAUCGGAACAUAUAUAGAUAAGCUUUCAAAUGUAAUUUGUUUUCUAAGCCAUCACCAAGCUAAAUUUUCACAUUUUUAGUAAGGGAACGUGUGGGGAUUCUCCAUCUUGAGGUAGGCAAUGGAGAUUUGAGUACAUAAAUUUAAAUAUAGCCUAAGUAGUCGGUUCAAUCGUCGUCUUUCUAACUUAAGAAUCUUUGAAAAAUGUAUGUGUUCGAUAUUGAGAGUUUUGCUAAUAUUGUUGUUCCAUACAAGGAUAACUUUUACUUUAUAUGUAGGUUUCAGCCAAGGUGGAUUAGCAUAUCAAUACCAACCGCAAAGCACAACACAUAAUUGGGUUUUGUGACAGCAUAUUAUAAGGAAGACUGAAUCAUAAUAAUGAGGAUAUAACUAAAACUGCUACUUCUAAGACAGCUUAUUUUUCAUAGAUUUGGUGUCGCAUGGUUUAAAUUUGAAUGAAAUGUGUCCAGCCAUGUAGGUUGUAUGUAUUUCUUUUUGCCAACUUCAUAUUUGUUGUGAAAUGGUAGAUGUAUGAUACGAGAAAUACAAGAAAGGUUGUAAAAGUAAAGAGCAAAACCUGUCAUCACCUACAAAUCAACUUGCAGCCCUUAACUAAAUUCCAAAUAUAGACAAGCCUAGAAUGUCUCUCAUCCACAUGAGCUAGUUGUCCCUUCAGGCAAAUGGUAUUAAAUUUGCAAAUGUCGGAACAAAGAAGACGAAGGAGAAAAAACUAAUAACAUUAAACCAAUUGUUCAUUCUCUUUCCCUCUUGUCUCCGGAGUCAAGGCAGAGUUGCCUCCCUCUGCCUUAGACAAAUUUCACAAUGGCAUUUCAGGAUUUUGAUGUCAUUUCAGAACGGCGAAAGAAUGAAGAGAAGAUGAAAAUGAGAAAGAAGAUUAUCAUCAUUGGAAUUUCCUCCAUUCUCCUUGCAUGUGUGGUAGCUGCUGCAGCAUUUGUUGUUGUCAAAAGAACUGGCCCUGACAGCAACAACAAAGUGAAUGCUCCCUCAGCACCUGCGAACGCCCAACAAGUCGAUCAAUAUUCAAGGCUUGUGAAAAUGAUAUGCAGCUCAGCACAAUACAAGAGCAAAUGUGAAAGCACCCUUACUGAGGCAUUGAAGAAGGACCCUAGACAUGCAAAGCCAAAGGAUCUUCUCUUGAUUUCCAUGGUGCUUGCUGAGGCUGAGAUUAACAAGGCCUUCAACAAAACCGCCACCUUGAAGUUUGCUUCUGAGGAGGAGAAAGGAGCAUAUGAAGAUUGCAAGCAGCUCUUUGAGGAUGCCAAGGAAGAAAUGGGAUUCUCUAUCACUGAAGUUGGAUCAAAUGAUUUGGCUAAGCUUUCCGAGAAAUCUUCUGAACUUAACAACUGGCUCAGUGCAGUCAUAUCUUACCAACAGACCUGCAUUGAUGGGUUUCCAGAAGGAAAAUUGAAGACUGAAUUUGAGAAGCUCUUUAAGGAAUCUCGGGAACUUAUUAGCAAUUCCCUUUCUGUUGUGUCAGAGGUGUCUACAUUCUUUUCUGCAUUCGAUGGAGCUUCAGGGUUUCACUUACCAUGGGGAAAAACUGAUGCCCCUCUAGCUCCUGCUCAUGCUCCUGGUUCUGGCAUUGUUCCUGCUCCUGGUCCUGCUCCUGGUCCUGGUUCAGCUGCUCCUGGCCCAUCUCCUGUUUAUGCUCCUGGACCUGCUCCAAUUUUGGCUCCUGGUCCUGGUCCUGCUUGGCUUAGCCUUCCAGAGUUGAAGGGAACAGAUGAGAAACCCAUACCUAAUGUCACGGUGGCAAAAGAUGGCAGUGGAAACUUCAAAACCAUCUCUGAAGCUUUGGCAGCAAUCCCACCAACCUACGAAGGAAGGUAUGCAAUUAGUGCUUGUGAGGUUCAAUUUUAAGGAAACAAUGAUAUUUUACAACUCUCAAGAAAGCUUUUGGAAUAUAACAAAAUAAAAAAGUGGAAUACACUUCAUAACAUUCAUUUUAACACAUUGCUAAUAAUGGAACUAGUAAAUUUCAUCUAAAAUUGAAAGUGUACUAAUUCCUAUUCAGAAAAGAAAAGUGUAGACUUUUUCCUCUAACUGUUGCGUUCAUUUAUCUAUUUUAAUUCGGGUCAUCUAUGCCCAUGCAUAGCUUAUGAUAUUUUCUAAUGUUGAAAUGCAUGCAGGUACGUGGUUUAUGUUAAAGAAGGAAUAUAUGAUGAAACAGUGACGGUGACAAAGAAAAUGGUAAAUGUAACCAUGUAUGGUGAUGGAUCUCAAAAGAGCAUCAUCACUGGGAGCAAAAAUUUUGUGGAUGGAGUCAGGACUUUCCAAACUGCCACAUUUGGUAAGUAUAUUCAAAACUCCAUGAAAACAGCAUGCACCUACUAUAUAUUAUUUGUGCAGCAAGUGGAUAUGCUAAUGUAACUUAACUCAUUUUUCCCCUGCACACUCCAGUGGUACUUGGAGAAGGGUUCUUGGGCAGAGAAAUGGGAUUCAGAAACACUGCUGGAGCAGAAAAACACCAAGCUGUGGCUGCCAGAGUACAAGCAGAUCGUGCAGUGUUUGUAAAAUGUGCCUUUGAGGGAUACCAAGACACUCUAUACGCCCAAACCCACAGACAGUUCUACCGUGAUUGUGUCAUUGCCGGCACAAUUGACUUCAUCUUUGGUGAUGCAACUGCAGUGUUCCAGAACUGCACUAUGGUUGUUAGAAAACCACUGGACAACCAGCAGAACAUUGUCACUGCUCAAGGGAGACUUGAAAAGCAAGAAAACACAGGCUUUGUUCUCCAAAACUGUGUGAUCAAGGCUGAUGAACAACUUGUUCCAGUGAAGGGUAAGAUCAGGAACUACCUUGGGAGGCCAUGGAAGGAGUACUCAAGAACCAUCAUCAUCGAAUCAGAAAUUGGGGACCUUAUCCACCCUGAUGGGUGGCUACCUUGGGAAGGAAACUUUGCACUCAGCACAUUAUAUUAUGCUGAAUAUAACAACAAAGGACCUGGUGCCAGCACUAAUGCCAGGGUCAAUUGGCCUGGCCGCCAUGUCAUUAACCGGGAUGAGGCUGGCCAGUUUACAGUGGAGACUUUCUUGCAAGGGACAUGGAUCAAUGGCACAGGUGUACCAGCUCAGCUGGGCUUGUACAAUUGAAUGGUCUUUUGCAUGUAACAUUUUAAUGAAUACUAAUUGGGUUGAAUGCUUGAGUCAAUUCAUAUCUAUUCUGGAACUUUUAACAACAUUAAUUUAAAUAUGAUUCAUUUGACAAUUAACUAUCAUCUAAAUAGUUUUAAAUAAAAUUGUUUAAGCUCCUUAUUCAUUAAAUGACGAUAAUUAAAGAAAAAUUCUUAACUUUCAUCAAACUACUAUGUUCUCUAAAAAGUUAAUAAUGUGAUAUAACUAGGGAACGUUUGUAAUGGUUGUGAUAAGCAUGCCUCCCUGCCAAAACCUCUUCAGGUGAAAGAAAAUAAGAAAUUUUCACAAUCACAUGGUCACCUUUACUGCCACUCUUGAUGGCUACAUUGGCAAGAACUGCAUCCAGGUCUGUAGGUUCUAGCAUUAUUCAAAAUCAUGACUCGUGACGCUAGGAUAAAACUAUAUCAUGACAUUAUUGGCAAAAUCAUGUUUUAAUGGUACCUAAAAGUUACCAGAGAGCUCAGACUCAAGGUGUUUGAUGAUACCCUCUCGGUAAAGCUCCUCAUAAACCUUUCUGAUUUGCUGCCUCUGAUGAACACUCCUAUGGCCCAAUAUUGCUCUCACAGUCUUCUCAUCAGCCCCACAUCCUGCACAAUACAAAACCACUGAAUCUUAAGUACUAUAUCACAUUCUACCUUGAACUCGUUUCGAUACAAACCAAAAAGCACUUAUCAGAGCUUAUCUAAUGCUUUUUCUAGUAGAUAAGCUCCAAUAACUCCGGAUCCAAAUAGGGUCUUUGGCACAUCAAGCACAAUACAAAAUCACUAAAUUCUAAGUACUAUAUCACAUUUUACUCUGUCAAAAUGCAUCAUUUUGAGCAACAAUUCAUUUUUUAUAAAAACACUUUCCAUGUAAAGAAAAUCACUUCUCUAAAAUCGAAACAGAAUACCUUUUAAACAAAUUGAUGGAAAUAGCAACGAAAGGCACACGAAUUACUUUGCCUGUGAGCUCCAACCGUGGUUGUGUAUUGUAUGUACUAGCUCCUCUGCAACUUUUGGAUUCGAAAAAAUGGAUUUCAGAUAUAAGGCAAACCAAGUAAAGCAGUAGUUGAACCUUCAAGGUGGCGCUGAGGUUCAAAUGGUGGCGCUAGGUCUCGCGGCGGUCGACGGGCAAACUCCACUACUGGUGCGAGGGUCGACGGUGUUCGCAGUGGUGGCUGAAGCUGCUUGCUUGAAGCGACGACAACCGCAUAGAAAAAUAAUAUAAUAAAAGUUUAGUGUUUUUAAAAUUAUAAAUGAUAGAUCCAAGGGUAAUAAACCAGCCUUGAAACUUGUCUAUGCUAGGACGAGAACUAGAAUGAGUAAGCAGUAGGUAAUUCGAGGACUCAAGUGUAAUAAGAAUAAUUGUCAAGAUUUGACGGUUGGAACUGUUAGAGCAGUUAUGCCAGCUGGAACAGUUAGCAGUUAGUACUGUUAACAGAGUUAGGCUAUAAAUAGUAGUAGUAGCUUCAUGAGGAAGUUAUCUUCGAAAUAGAGUUUGGGAUCUGGUUGUGGAACCAGUGUGAUCAUUGGGAUCACUUGUAAACCCUAAUUCCUUGUUCUUUCCCAAAUUGUCAAUUCAAUCUUCUCCCUAGGCUAGGAUCAUUUUGGUUCUGGAAUAGGAAUCCUCUUCGGUUUCUAUUCAAUUUUACUUGUUCAUACUCACGAGUGUUACCAAUAAAAAAGAGAAUGAUGAAAUUUUAUUAAAAUGGUAACCAUAAAAAAUGAGAAUAACCUCAAGUAGCUUAUGAAAAAAGCUAUAAGCUACCAAAAAUAAGCUUUUUUACCAAAUACUUUAGAAGAGUUUUUAAGCUAGUUAAAUUGUCAAAUACACUUUAAGCAGUAAGCUUUAAGUUAGUCAAAUAAACUUUAAGGUGGCUGAAAAAUCUUUUCGCUUAACUAGUGAGUCCCAUUGUCUUCUUUCUAAUUUAGAAUCUUUGAAGAAUGUAUACAUUUGAUUUGUGACUUGAGAGCAGUGUCAUUAAACUCGACCCGGUCAUCAACUCAGUGGAGAUACUAGGUAAAUGAUGGAUGGCUACCUUAUUCACCAUGAUGGAUGGCUACCUUGGGAAGGAAACUUUGCACUCAACACAUUAUAUUACGCUGAGUACAACAACAAAGGGCUUGGUGCCAGCACUAAUGCCAGGGUCAAUUGGCCUGGCCGCAAAGCAUAGUUAUCGAUCGCGGCAAAUCGCGGCGCUAUCGCGCCGUCGCGUCGCGGCCGCUCGCCGCGAUUCUGAAGCCAUCGCGUCGCGGAACGCCGUCGCGGCUGUCGCGCCGCAAAUCGCAGCCAGAUCGCGUGAGAUCACGGCGCCACAAGAAGAAGAUAAGGUACAGUUGUGG